rnacentral:lncRNA from 1 species
UGAGGACACAGUGAGAAGGCUAUUAUCUGUUGGUCAGGAAGAUGGCCUUCACCAGGACGCAGACAUGUUGGCACCUUCAUCUUGGACUUUAUCUCCAGAAUUGUGAGAAAUAUCUCUUUCUUAAACUACCCACUCUAUGUAUUUUGUUGUGACAGCCCAAACUGUCUGAGACAAUGGGUCUGGGAAUAUGUAAAUUUAAAGUGGUUUAACUAAUUUAGUUGAUGAAAGAGGGUUUAUUAAGUGAUCUUUAAGUUCUUUUAUGGUGUAUACUGACAAUAACUUUCAUUUUUAAAAAUCAUCUUUAAAUUUAAAAAAUAUUUGCACAUAUGUGUUUCACCAUAUUUCACAUUUGUCUCUUUGAUGUUAGAUCAUAAACUGUCAGAAGGUGAAAGCUACUUUUGCUCAAUGUGUCUUUUAGAACAGUCCCUAUUACAUGUUUUACAAACAUCUUUAGGUAGAUUUAAAAAAAUUAAAUAUAAUUCACAUACCACGAAAUUCACUUUUUGAAAGUGCAUUAUGCAGUAGAUUUUAGAACAAAAUUAUAUAAUCAUCCAAUUCCAGAACAUUCUUCCCACCAAAGAAAUUCUGGUCUUGUUAGCAGUCAUUUCUCAUUCUCUCCAGCCCCUGAGAACCACUCAUCUGCUUUCUAUCUCUGGAUUGGCCUAUUCUGGACUUUUCAUAUACAGAUCAUACAACAUGAUUUCUGAGUCAGCUUCUUCUUUCACCUACUAUAAUAUUAUAAAGACUCAUUCAUGUUGUAGCCUGAAUCAGUACCUCAUUUAUUUUUAUGGUUGAAUAAUAUUCCCUUGGAUGGAUGUACUACAUUUUGUUUCUCCAGUCAUCAGUUGAUGGACAUUUGGGUUUCCACCUUUGGGCUAUUAUGAAUAAUGUUGUUGUAAACAUACACACAUUUUUGCAUGGGCAUUAACUCUCAUUUCUCUUAGAGUGGAAUUGCUAAGUCCUAUGGGAACUGUAUGUUUAAGUUUUUGAGGAACUGCCAAGCUGUUUUCCAAAGUUGCUGUGCCAUUUUAAAUUCCCACCAGCAGUAUGUGAGGGAUCCACUUUUCCCACGUCUUCCCAAUACUUGUUUUUGUUUGCCUUUAUGGUUAUAACAAUCAUAGUGCCUCUGCAGUGAUAUCUCAUUAUAAUUUUGAUUUGCAUCCUAAUGAUAAAAGAUUUGAUCAUUUUACAUGUGCUUUUUUGUUAUUUGUAUAUAUUCUUUGGAGAAAUAUCUAUUCAAAUCCUUUGCCAUUUUUCCCACUUUUUGAUAGAUGUUUACUCAAUGUUUCAAAUUAUUUAUACAUUUUUAAUUUUUCCAAAAUAUUUUGGAUGGUGUUCAUUUUCCCACUGGCCAUAUUUAAACUGUUCAUAAAAUGACUAUUAACUCCACAGCUACUAUAAUUGAAUUGUUAUACUCUGUAUUCAGAUAUAGUCCAUUCAAUAACCAUUUAUGCAUUAGGUGUUUUAUUGCAGGUACUGAAGAAAGGAAAAUAAAGAAGAUACAGUUCAUAUUUCUAAUAAUUCAGUUCUAAUCACUCUGUGGAAGUGGGAGAGAUCUGAUUCUGAUGUUAAGAGUGAUGAUACCAUACAUACACCCAGAGUAUGAGAAGUAUUGUUACUUAUGUAAUGAGGCUUUCAGGGUGGGGCAGGUCAGAUUUCCAAAGCUGGCUCAAAAAUGGCUCAAGAGCAGAGAAAGGGAACUGUCUUAGGGUAUUAUGGUGAUUAGGUGGGGGCCAGGGUGAGUGAGUGUUCACCUGUUUGGAGAGUCACAUAGAGAGAUUUGAAUCUCCCAUCAGCUACAAAGGGGACAAACCAUCACAUCAUGGACUUGACUUUUCUUUUUUUUAAAAAAGAUGUUGGGACAGAAAGGAAAAGGGUUACUUUGGGGCUUGUAAGUUUUCAGUAGUCAGACAUCAAACAAAGAGUCAGACUAUUACAAACCUCAGUAUGGGAUUAGAAAAUUAGGUAAGUCAGUAACAAUAUUACAAGGUGAUCAUUGUUUACAAUGCUGUGAAAUCCCAGAGAAGCAAGUGCCCAACUGUCUGUGGAAGACAUCAUGAAGGUGACAUUGACAGAAGAGAGAAGGUAAGAUCUCAAAAGGCAGAGAAGGGAUUGAGGAUGGCAAGAAAGAGUUUUCAGGUUUAAAGAUAGUACUUGGAAAAUCACAUACAUGUGAAAGUGUAGGUAUAUUCUGAGAACAAUCUUUAGUCCUUUUGUAAAGAGUAAGAGGCAUUUGGAGAUGAAGCAAAGGCCAGAAGCGGAACCUGGGUGUGGUGGUUGUUUGUGCAGAAAUAUGAAGGGGCCUGUAAACCAUUUUAACAUUAAGCAUUAAGACUUUAUCCCUUGGAAAAUGAAAAAGCCUCAAAAAUGAGGUUACAUUUGCAUAUUAGAAAUGUUAUUUGGAGCCAGACACUGUGGUGCAUGCCUGUAGUCCCAGCAACUAGGGAGACUGAGACAGGAGGAUCACAAGUUCAAAGCCAUCCGUAGCAACUUAGCAAGGCCCUAAGCAACUUAGUGAGAACCUAUCUUAAAAUAAAAAACUUAAGAAAAGGGCUGGUAAUGUGUGGUUCAGUGAUUAAGCACCCUUGAGUUCAAUCCCUGGUAUUAAAAAAAAAAAAAAAAAAGGAAGUCAUUUGUGUCUUCAAUAUUGCUGGCGAAUUGGAGGGGGUGUGACCAGUAAAGCCAUCAAGUUUGAACAUGUGGGAAAUUAUUGGAAUUGUCAAGGUAAACCAGGAAGACCUUAACCAAGGCCAGGGGAUGUGAGGGCAUAUAGAUGUGGGAGCCCAAGUUUGUGCAUUAAUUUGUGUAUGAAGGCAAAGGAAAAUGAGAAAUUAACUCUUGGAAUUUCUAACUUGGCCCACUAGGAACUGAAUAGGAUCACCAGAUUUCUGAUUUUGGUAAACAAUGAACAUGGUGGUACCCCUAACAGAGAAAGAAAAAAGAGGGGAAUGGGAAGAAGAAAUAAUGAGAUCUUUGAAGGAUUGUUUAAUUAGAGGUACCUCUGAAAAUCUUUCCUGCUAGUUCUUUGCACAGAAAGUUGGAAACAGUCCAUUCUGUAGCACAAUGUAUUUGAGCACAAUGAUUAUAAAGACACCCUCACCCAGGUGGCUUCCUCCACAAGGGUCACCUUGAAAGGCUGUAUAAAUUCUGUUUUUGCUGCCAAAUGCAAGUGCUUUGGAACUUGACUGUGACUCAAAGGUAACACCUCAUCCUUACACAUGUUCACAAACCAGGAAGCACUUGAUUUCAUUUUAGCUGAUCCUUAAAACCAUCCUGUGAAGUAUACAGUAGGAUUAUUAUCUUUUUACCUAUAACUACACAAACACAGAGAGGUUGAUUUUCUUCACAUGGUUAGAAAUGAGGACUCAAAUCCUCUUUUUUUUAUGAUCAAUUUAAUUAGCUAAGGAUUCUAGAAACUGCAAGUUCAGCCAGCCUUGUGGAUUCUGUCUCAUAGUGCAGGUUUAGGCAGCAAGGGGUUGGGAUAAAAUGGCAGGAUUGGAGUCUCCUGGAAGAAGCACUGUCAGGGACUCAGUGAAAGGAGAAGCAGGCAUUAGGAGGCCUGACAGUCAACAUUCUGGGUCACAGAGUGUCAGGAUGAGAUUAGGUGUCAUCAAAGAUGACUCAGAUCCUAAAAUGGAGGCUUUGCUCCCUGAAUAUUUUAUGUGGUAUUUUUAAGCAUGGAUGGUUCUGGCUUAUGGUUAUUAAUGAAGCCAGAACCUUCACAGAGGCAGAGGAAAUAUGGUCUUCAGCAAUCAAGGAUAAUUCUUAUAAUUUUAUAUUCUGAAAAACUGGAAACAAAUGUAAAACAACACAACUGGCUACACUGCUCACUAGCUAGUAAAAUUAUUUUAACCUUGGGUUUUCUCUGUGCAAAGUGUGAGAAUUAAAUGAUCUACCUCAUAAAAUUGUUGUCAGUAUUAAAUUAGAUAAUACAUACAAAAGGUAGAAUAAUGCUCUGUUCAUAUUAAGCACUCAAUAAUAGUUACUUUAUCAUUGGGGAAAAUGAUCUCAAGAGAAUAUCAUCAUAUCCCUAAAAUUGCAUUUCUGGUAAGUUUAUAAUAAGCCAGCACAAUCUUGAAAUUUUAAGUAUGUAAACUCAACUUAACCACAGCUAUAAAAGGUAAGGAAAAAGAGGCCAUAGAAAUUUCUCUUACAUGUUAUAAAUUUUUGCUGUUUUUAAAACAAUAUCUUUAUUGGGAUAUAAUUCACAACCCUAAAAUCUAACCUUUUCAAUAGUACAAUUCAGUAUUUUUUUUUAGUACAUCAGGGAGUUGUGCAAGCAUUACCAGUAACUGGUUUUAGAACAUUUUAUCACUACAAAAUAUAUUCUGUACCCAUUAGCUGUCAUUCAUGAUCCCCUUGCUCCUUCAGCCCCUGGCAACCAUUAACCUACUCUCUACAGGUUUGCCUACUUUGGACAUUUGAUAAAAAUGGUAUCAUAUAAUGUGUAGUCUUUUGUAUCUCAUGUUUUUUACUUAGCAUAUUUUCAAGAUUCAUCCAUGUUUUAGCAUGUCUCAGUCCUUCAUUUCUUUUUAUGGACAAGUAAUAUUCCAUUCUAUUUAAUUAUCCCUUCACUGGUUGAUGACAUUUCAUUGUUUCCACCUUUUGGCUAGUAUGUUGCUAUCAACAUUGAGCAUUAAAGUGUGUGGACUCAUGUUUUCCAUCCUCUUUAGUAUAUGCCUGUGAGUAGAAUUGCUGUGUCAUAUGGUAACCGUAUUUAGCAGUUUGAAGAACUUCCCAACUGAUAGCAGUAUUUUACUAUCUCACCAAUAAUGUAUGAGGGUUCAAAGUUCUCUAUUAUCUUCACCAACAAUUGUCAUCAGCAUUUAUUUUUUUAAAGCCAUGCUUAUGAGUAUGAAGUGGCAUCUUAUUGCUAUUUGGGUGGUGAAAUGGAAAAGUUAAAGAUAUAUAAGCAGUAUGCAUGUUUCAGUUUGAGUGUCAUUUCAUUAAUUUUUAAUAGUCUUGAAAUUGCAUGAUCCCGAAAUUCAAACUCAGCAAUGUCAGAAAAUCUGGAGUGGCAUAUAUACUUAUUUAUAAAUAUUUUAGUAGCAUCAACAUUCUAGUGCAGACCUCUAAGAUAUUUGUUAUCAGUUGAGUGAUUAUUUGGUAUUUAAGUGUAAAUUAACCCAUCAGCUGUUUCUUUGCACCUGGCUUCUUGCUAAAUAGAUUAGAAAGCUAAGUGGACUGAGAACAAGGCAAAGUGAUUUCUCAAAAAGGCAUAAAGAUCUGAACUUGAGGAUGAAUUACCAGACUCUGCUUUGCUGAGCAAAGCGAUGCAGUACUUAACAGGAAAUCAGCUCUACUUAUUAUACUUUCUAAGUAGACUGUCACUUUUUAGUGCAGCUCUUCUCUAGGAGUUAAUUAGGGAGCACUGCUUCUCUUUCUGGGCAAAAUUGCAAUCUUUAUGUAAGCACCAAAGGGGCAGCCCUCUCAUACCCAGAACUUUCAGCUUUGGUGGCCAGGGAAACGGAAAAUGCCUCUAAAACAUGUCUUGCAUAGAUAGGCCUUCUAGGGAAAUUCAGGUAUUGCUGGCCGAGUAAGAGCAUGCCUCUUUUAAAAACCUCUGCUGUUUAUGUUGACACAUUGAUUGCUAUUCACACACUAUUUAGAGCAUGUAUCGAUGUUUGGGUCAUAGAAUCUUUGGAGAGGUAGCUACAUUAGGAAAUAAAUGUAAUCUGUCUUAUACUUUUUCUUAGAGAAAUAUAUCUCAAAACAUCUGUUUUUGAAAAUUUUUACCUUUUGCAGUUCUAGGAAUGGAUUCCGGGGCCUCAUGUGUGCUAGGCCAACACUAAGCAGCACCCCAGCUUUCUAUUUUAAAUCCCAUCUACAUUACUCACAUUCAGAUUGUGGGAUUACAUUACAGUUUUAUAUACAGGCUUAGAUAAAUCUUCAGACAUCAAUGUUUAUAGAAUCUACCCCUGUGUUAGUAACAUAAGUUACUAUAACAAAUACUGAGAAAGUCAAUUUAUAAAAAGAAAAAAAUGUUGUUAUUUUGACUUAUGGUUGUAGCAGUUUUAGUCCCUGAGUAAUUCACCCUGUUACUUUGUGCCUGUGGUGGUACAUCAGGGCAGGAACGUAUGGUGGAGCAAAUUGCUCACCUCGUGGCCAAAAAUUUUUUUGAAAAGAGAAAGAGAAAGAGAUUUGAAUUUCAUAAUCCACUUCAAAGACCCAAUGAACUAAGGCCUAAUGAGCUCCACCUCUCAAGGUUCUACCACCUCCGAAUAGUGCCAUGCUGGAGAACAAGCCUUUACCAUGUGGACCUUGGGGGACACUAAAGCAACCUCAAAUACCACUUUGCACAUGCCACAUACACACUUACUGUCAAAUGGUAUUUAUGCAGCCACAUAUGACUAGUUAAUAACAUUAACAUUAAAAAUUAUCACUUUAUAUUUUAAAUUUAAAACGUCCUUGGAUAGUCAUAAUUUUAGCUAAUUAGCAUUCAGGGCAUUAAAGAUGAUAGUCCAAGAAUUGUUUAAUUCAAAGAAUUUUUAUCUUGUUUUUCAUUUGGUUUAAUUUUCUGAAUUUGAAUCACAACUCAAACUCCAGCAGGGUUGCUCUUACUCCAGUUCUUAGCAAUUGCAUAGAAGACCUUAUAUAUCUUAACUAUGCAAAGAGCUUCAUAAUAUCAAAGUUCAUCUUACAAGUUCAACAAAUUUUAUUGACUGGAAACACUUAAUGUAAGUUUUAGAAUUAGGUUAUUUUGAAACUUAUGAUGGCGUCUCUUAAAUUUUUAAAUCAAGGCAAUAACCAUCAUAACUAGCCCAUUGGCUUGCACUUUAUGCCAGUAAUUGCAAUUAUAAUUAAAGAAGUCUACAUUUAUUUAUAAAAUGUUACCUGGGGGUGUAAAAGCCUUCUCAUACACUAUUAAAACGAUGAUGGUUUUAUAUGCUAUUAAAAUGAGUCAUGCUGAAAUCAUUGCUUACAAGGGCUUUAUCUAAAUGAAAUGGAUAUAAAAAGUAAGUCAUGCCCUGGUAGUAGAGGUCUUUUUUUUUUUUUUUCCCCAUCUGGCAAAUCUAAUAGUACUUGAAAAGAUAUUAAGUCAUGAACAAACUAAUAGCCCGAUUAGAAGAUCAAAUAAACCAUGCCUCUAUGGUUUAUUUUAUUUUAUAUCUUUAAAGUAUUUUUGGUAACAAUUAUUAAUUUGUAUAUUCCAAGCAGAUACAACCUCAGAAACUACAAUGUACAGUUGGCUUUAGCUUGCUUUGGACUAUGUAUCUUCCCAAAGUGAUAAAAACUUUGCCUUGAGAAAAAUGCAUAUGUGCAUACUUAAUUUUACAUAAAAAAUCCCAGGGAUACACAGCCCCUUUGAUAGGACUCCCAUUUAGUUACAAACAUAAAAUAUUUAGUGUGAUUAAGCUAAUCUUAUGAAUGUUUGAAAGUGCUUUGAAAUGUAUUAUUUUUAAGUUUUUCUAUUUUGCAGGAGUACUGAGGAUUGAACUCGGGGGCACUUAACUACUGAGUCACAUCCCCAGUCCUUUCUUGUAUAUAUAUUUUUUAGAGACAGGGUUUCACUGAGUUGCUUAGGGCCUCACUAAAUUGCUGAGGCUGGCUUUGAACUCGCGAUCCCCCUGUCUCAGUCUCCUGAGCUGCUGGGAUUAUAGGAGUAUGCCAUGGUGCUCAGUAUAAGUUAAUCUUUAUCAACAAUGUUGUGGAUUAAUUGUCAGGCAUUUUAACUCUUAUACAGUCAGUUGCAUCUAUGAAUAGUUUUCUUAAGCUUUCAGAAAAGUGUGCAUACAAGUCUGGUCUGUGAUUUGAGCUGGAUUUAUUAAUCUGUCAAUCAAUGCAGGCAAUGGUUAACACUUGCUGCAAGCCCAGGAACAUAAAAUAUUAUAAACUUUUUAAAGAUUGUUUUCUUACCCUCAUUGAAGAGCUGGUUACAAACCUAGAUGGGCACACCAAUUUGCUGAACAGGGUUGGAGAUCAUGCAUUUUCUAGCAUAUAAACCAUAUAUCCAUGAAUUUGUGCCCACAUCAGUCAGAUUGCUUUUGCAUUCACAAAAAAGUGGAUCUAAUUCCACUGUGGGUCAGUGGGUCAGAUCUCUGUGAGAAGAAUUUGUCAGAGUCAUUGUGUACACCAAGGAAAUUUUUUAGGAUCAAUUAGCAAAACAGCAAUUGGGAGACUUUUCUUAGUAGCACUCCAGCCACAGACUUACAGAAUUUUCCUAAAUACGAUCUGUUGUACUUUCAGUGUAGAGUGUAUAUUUAUUUUCUAUUGCUCCAUAAUAAAUUAUCACAAAUUUAAUGGCUAAAGUAAGAGCCAUUUAUUUUAUUUUUAAUUUUUUUAGAUAUUUAUUUUUUUAGCUUUAGGUGGACACAAUAUCUUUAUUUUAUUUUUAUGUGGUGCUGAGGAUCGAACACAGUGCUUCACGUAUGCCAGGCGAGCGCGCUACUACUUGAGCCACAUCCCCAGGCCCGUAACAGCCCUUUAUUAACUCACAGUUCUGUAGGUCAGAAAUCUGGGCAUGAUGUGGUGAGGCUCUCUCUUCUUGGUCUCACAAGACAGAAAUCAUGCUGUUUGGGCUGUGAUUCUUGUCUGAAGCUUGGAGCCAUCCAGGCUUAUUCAGGUAGGGGGCAGGAUCUCAUUCCUUUUGGUUGUAGGACUGCCAUUGCCACUUUCUUACUGGUAGGGUUGUUCUCAGUGCCUAGAGGCUGCCCACUGUUUCCUGCUGUGUGACAAGUCAGCAAUGGAGAGUGUCCCUUGCAUCCAGUUUGUCUCAUGCUUUGAAUCUAUCUUUCCAGGGAAAUCUCAGUCCCUUUAAGAGCUCAUCUGACUUUGUAAGGCCCAAUGAGCAUAAUCUCCCUCUCUUAAGGGAGACUUUAAUAUUGAAACCUAAAUUACUCCUGCAAAAUCCCUUUACAGCAGCACCUUGUUCAGUGUUUGAAAAACUGGGAAAAGGUGUAUGUACACUGGUGGAGAUGGGCAUUGAGAGGGAUCCGUGGGCCUAGGAUCUGGCAGGGGAUACAAGUUGUCUGCUCUUUAGAAAAAGAUAUCAAAACACAUGCAAGCUAUGAGAGGGCAUAUUCUGUGUAUUUGUCAUUGGUAUUUAACCUCAUAGAAAGGGACUUAGCCCAAGGUAUAGAAAAUCUGCUUCUGUCACUAAGUAACCAUGUGAUCUUGGCCAGAUUAGUUUACUUCUCUGAGUCUGGAGCUGCAGGGGUCCAAUAGAUCAGGAAUUCUGAGCCAGGAGGAAGAACUAGAGGAAAACAGUUACUAUAAGUCAUCUUGCAGUUUUUGUAAACCAAGCUUUGCUCCUUCCUUCUCAAGAUGUUAUAACAGAGUUGGGAGGUGGGAAAGAAAGGAUAAUGUUCAGUGUAGAAUUGCUCCUCAGGGCAUCACUGCUCCUUUCACUCAUUCAACACACAUUCAUUGACCACCUACUUUGGGCCAAACUCUGUGCCAGGCACUAGGAUUGCUGGAGUGGAUAAAGAAAAUAGGCUGUUUGCUUCCCUUCCAGCUUCGGAAACAGAGGCAAGUGAGUGUAAGAGGAUGAAGAUUACUGAGUGGGGACCAUAAAGUGUGGCGGGAGCUGAGUACAAGGACCUCCUUGAGGAAGUGAUGCUUGAGUAGGUAAAGAGGCUGGGAAAGGGAUGAAGUGGGUGUGAGAAGGAAGACACUGUUUCAGGCAGAGGAAAUACAUUUAUGAAGAGGUGGAAACUUAAAUGACUGAGGCACAUUUGAGGAGCUAUAAUUAGCCAUUUUGACCCAAGUUGGUACAUGUUUCAUAGCCAGCCUUACAAAUUAUGCUAAUGAGUUUAGAUUUUUUUAUUCUAAGCACAAUGGGAAAAUAUUGAAAAGUUUUAAAUUUGAGUGACUUAAAGAGAUUGGCACGUUAAAAAUAGCACCCUAUGGGGGCUGAGGAUGUAGCUCAGUGGUAGAGCACUUGUUAGCAUGCAUGGGGUCCUGGGCUUAAUCCUCAGGACUGAAAAAAAAAUCAUCCUGGCUGUAGUUUGAAAAAAAUAGUACAGAAGGUGGCUGCAUUAGAGUCAGUGAGACCAUUCCUAAAGGCCAGGCCCAAGAUGUCAAUGGGAAUGGAGAAAAGAAGGCAGAUUUGAAGGAGACAUGGAGAGUCAAAUCAUCUGCACAGUAGUAUACAGUUACAGGAGGUACAGGACUGAAUGUAGCUGCAUGUCCUUUAAUUUAUAGUUUUCCCUUUAUGCAAUGCCCACAGCUAUUCAAGGUAUGCCUUCUCCUUUCACAAGCUCUUUGAGGUUGUACAACAAGAUAGAAAAUCUUCUAUAACUUGCUAGAAUUUACUUAUUCCACUGGGAUAGAACAUUCCCACUGGGAAUAUGUACACAAGAAAAGAUCUGGAUUUUAGGGUCUUGUUUUCUUAUCUGCUCAAUGAGGGAGCUGUAUUGGAAACAUCAAGGACUGAUUCUGCAGCUGACCUCCCUGAACCUCUGGAAGCUAAUCAGAAGCACUGUGUUCAUACUGGUUUCUCCCUACUCUGGCUCAAGUUAUUGCAGGAAUAGAAGAGUCUGCACUGACCCCUGAAUGCAGCACACAUUUGGAUAAAAUCCACCCCUACAGAAGAACUUUUGCACUCCUCCAGGCCCAGGAGUAAUGCAAGGUUAAUGGAGACAGUCAUGCCUGUAAAUUUGGCUUCAUAACUUGAUGUCUCUGGAAUUCACCCAAUGAGUUCACAUGGCAAGCUUAUCUAACUUGAAUACAAGGGUGUAUUCAAUGAGAUUCAAUUUCCCUUUAAUUUCCCCCUCUUUUAGUGGAAGAUGCAUUGAGUAGAAUGAAUGACAUGAAUAUAACAUAAAAUGUAUUGUGUUCUAAAACUUGAUUUUGCUCUGUCCUCAGAAAUCACAGACAAAAUCCUAGUGGAGCUCUGGGCCUGGGAAGAGAUACCUGAAUGCAAUCUUCAGAGGAAAAUCUGCCUGUGGCUCACAUUGCCAACCCAGGCUCCUUCCCAUCAGCAAAACCAAUUGUGAAGCAGAUAUGGUGCUGCUUUCCCAGUAUUAGAGGGCCCAUACCCAGUACAAAAAAAAUACUAUGCGAUUUUACUAGGAUGCACUUUUCUGUUUUCAGAAUGCAUCUCAUAAUUGUUUUUCACAAUUAUGGUUAUUCAUACCCAUAAUUGUAUAACUUUCAGAAAGUGCAUUUUAUUUUAGUCCACUAGAGGGCACCAUAAGGAUUAGGCAUUGUAGCCAACAAGAUUCAACCUUAAUGUUGUCAGCAAUAGACAAAUUCCUGGGGAUUCUCAAACCAGGCUGAUUGCCAAAAGCACUGAAGGAGUAUUUAUUUUUUUAUUUUUAACUUAUUUUCAUUAAAAAUAGAUUUUUAAGGGCAAUUUUAUGUUUGUAGAAAAACUGAACUGAGGGAGAGUUUUAAAAAUAUGUUAUGUAAGGCUGGGGAUGUACUAGGUGGUAGAAUGCUUGCCUAUCACAUUCGAGGUCCUGAAUUUGAUCUCCAGUGCUAAGAAAAAAAAAGUCAGUAUAUAGAUGUCCAGCCCCUGAUCUUGAUCCAGAUUCACAACAUCAGAAUCUUUGGGGUUGAGGCUGAGGAAUUUCCAUUGUAAGCAUUGAUGAUAACUCUUGCCUUUGGCAAGAUCCACUGAACUAUAUAAACUUAUAUCCCAACAAAGGCAGAAAUACACUGAAUGUUUUUAAGCAUAUACAGCAGUAUGUAAAAACAGAGGCUUACAAGGAUUUAAACAUUAAAGAAAAGAGAUGGAAUACUUAGAGAUUGUCAAUAUUUGGAAUAUGAAUCAUCAUUUUUUUUCAAUUAAACCACUUCAACUGUUAAAUAGAAUUCAUGUGCUUUAUUUAGAGCCAGAAGAAAAUCAGAAGACUAUCAUUAAAGGAGGACUUCCCAUUCUAGAAAUAAAAUUUUAGGGACUCCCUACAUCAGAAAACAGUGUACUAUUUCUGAAAUAAGCAUUUCAUGAAAGACUGAUAGAUUCCUGGGGAUCUUCUGCAGGGAACAGAGAUAAAUGCCCUCAAUCCAUUGCCAUCAGACACAGAUGUUUCCAUAGUAUCAAAUACAUCUGGCAAACUGGCCCAAAGUCAAGAACUAGAAUUAUAGGAAGAAAAAAAGCUACAUGGAUUGUCAUAGGGGAGAAUUUAAUAAUUCUAUCCCUGUAAAAAGCAGUUUUAAAUAAAAGGAAGGCAACCUUAUUGAUUUACAGGAAAGUCUGUUUGAUAAUCUAAAUUAUAUGAAAGAAAAUAACUAGCAAUCUAAUUUAGGAAACACCAAACUGCCUCCCCUUUUAAAUACUGCUUCACUGUGGAAAUUUAUACAUUUAUUUGUUUAAACAAAUAUCACAUUACCAGAAUCCUAACAAUAUGAGCAGGUUUUUGUAACAGGUCUCUGAAACCCUAGUUUUAAUAUCAUAUAAAAAUUCAGAACAAUGCUCUGCUCUCCCAAGGUCCACUUGAAUUGGGUAUUUGCCACAAUCUCAUGCCCAGAAUUUUAUUUUUUGAUGUCAGUGUAUUUCCUAAAUCAAAGGUGGAAGGGAUUGCCUCCAGAACUUGCCCCAUCUAAAGAUAUAAAGAUUCUGAGCUAGUCAGACUUGAAACUUUUUUUCUAAAUUAUUGUUUUACAGUCAUUAAAUAAAACAACAAUUUAAAAAAAUGUUUCAAGGCUCAGUAAGCCCAACAGAUCCUGAUAAGUGUGGAAACAAGAUUCCUCUCUCUUAGCUUUUGCCUGAGGAACCUGGGUAGACUGGUUGCAAUCAGAAGUCUUCAUAUUCUUUCUUCAGAAGUUUGUUUACUUGUAUGGAGGCCCAUUAGGCAUCUUAUAACAUAAUCUACCUUAUUAUAAAAGACUAUCCUCUGUUGUGCUUUGUGCUACAGAUACAUUUUAAUACGGGAGCCAGGUAUGGUGGUGCAUGCCUGCAAUCCUAGUGACUUGGUGGUCUGAGGCAGGAGGAUGGCAAGUUCCAAGCCAGCUAUAGCAUUUUAGUGAGGCCCUUGGUGAGACCCUGUCUCAAAAUAAAAAGGGGGUGGGGUCUGGGGAUGUGACACAGUGGGUAAGCACUCCUGGGUUCAAUCCCAUUUGCUGUAAAUAAUAAUAAGAAGAAUAAUAAAUUAUAAGAGAACAGUAGAGAAUUGGAAGAUGAGACAAGGGGCAACGACAGUUUUAGGUGUAGAAGAUAAAGACUCUUUAUCUUCAAACUAACAUUUGGCAAGGAGGACUUAUGAGGGAGAAAAAUAACCUAUAGUCAAAUCUUCCAAGUAAAGCAUGCAAAUGAAUAAACUUUCAUUUCCAGCUAACUCUUGACUCUAUGUCUUUUGCAGCAUAAUCAUGCUUUUUUUUUUUUUUUCUUUUUUCUCCUUGUGGUACUGGGGAUUGAACCCAGUGAGGAUCUCUAUCAUUGAACUACAUCCCUGGCCCUUUUAGUUUAUUUAUUUUUUUUUAAAUAUCAAGAUGGAGUCUCACUAAGAUGUCCAGCUUGGCCUUGAGCUUGCCAUAUCGUCCCAUAGCCUCACAAGUCACAGGCCUCCCAAGUCUGGCUCAUGUCUCAUUUUGAGAAUAAAAAUUAAAAAUUUUGUUCCCCCCAUAAAAACAUUAUUUAUUUAUUUCUCCUUUGAAAUAACAAAUGCCAAAUUCUCUAUAGGAUUUAAUGACACUGAGUAUCAAAAUAAAUAUUAUUGCUCUCAUAAUAAAGAAUAAUUUUACAUUGUUAGCCAGCCUCUAAUAACUGCAGAAUCAGUUCUUGUCCUUUGCCUUAUCCCUUCUGCUAAGAAUUUUGGUCCUAUCAGCUUGUGGUUGCAAAAACAGUACAAUUUGCAAUGUUAGUUGGCAGCAAACUCUGUCACUCCUACUGGGCUGGCUUGGCUAAAGGACAAGAGCUAUUGUUUCAGGUUCUGAUGCAGCUCCAACCCCACGAGAUCACUACAAUUGUCUUCUGGUGCUACAACAGCUGCGCGGAUCCGGGUCUCAGUAAUUCCUGCACAUCAGGUCUAUAUUUUUGAAGAAAAAGUUAAUUAAUAUUGUAAAUACCGCUUUUCAUUUAUUUGCAAAUUUCUCUUAUUUACUCAAUCUCUUAUUAUCUUAUACCGCUAGCCACUCCACACUUCUGCCUUGUCUCACUAACCUGUGAGAGACAUCUCUAAUGGGUCACAACUCAUUUCUCUUUUGAGUGGGGAGAGUCCUCUAAUCCUCUACAACAUAAUGAUCCAAGUAGUUGCUACUGCGUUGGAUGGUGGCACUUGGGAUGACAUCUAUUUAUUACUCUGGCUUUAAGUUGUUCUUUCAGGAACAUUAGAUUCAAUUACUGGUCACAUUUCCCUUGGUGCUGACGAGCUUAGAGAAUGGGUUGAACUGGGACCCAGAUGUUCACAGAAUGCUGCUUUCAUUUUAAUCAACACUUAGACUUGAAAAUAUCAGAGGACAAAGAGCCAAUGAGGCCAUAAAGACAGGAUUUGGUCAUAAACAUUACUGGUCUGGGACUUCUCAAUGAGUUGAAGAACUGAGUCAUAGUAAUUCUUGUUUGAUUUUACUUGUUUACACCCAUUUGCGGAUAUUAUGUCUAACCAAUUAAUGAUAAUUUCAUCAGAGGUUUGAGAAUUAUUAAAUUCUCAGGAGGAAGCACAUAUUCAGAAGAUAAAAAUUGGCAAAGAAAAAUUGGCACGUAAAUAAGCUCUACUAAUUGGUUGUUGCCAACUGCAUUCCGCAGCUCAGUCCCUACACAGGCUUUUCCAAAUGAGUUUUAUUUUUUCUAGAUUGGUUUACUAGUUUAUUAUGAAUGAUCUUAACUGAUUAAAAAUAUCAGACAAUUUAUAUUUCCACUUUUGGAAGUAUGGUAGAUUAGUCAUCCGGAAUGGUUUUCCUAUUUGAAACGCUGAAAUAUUGGGCAAGUUGUUUUUAAACUUUUAUUUUUUUAAUGUACUGGUCCUCUAACAGGAAAGUAAGGUUGCAGACUUUCCACACUGAGAUGAAAGAAGAAUUCUGGAAGUAAGCAGGUUCAAACUUGUCUGCUCUAAAGGUUCCUGUUAAACCUCAGAGACCCAGGACCCCUUUAGCUUCAUGCAUGGAAUAUGGUGCCAGGAAGCAAAGCCCAGGGCCUGCCCUAAAUACAAAUCCAACAGAGGCAUCCACAUCCAAUGAGACCCCAAAAGGCUACUCCUUGGUCUCAGAGUGAUAAGAAAAAGCCCAGAACAGAGUAGGCAAUGAGAAAUCUUGUCUGUCUUGACCUUGACACCAAGUGAAAGGACAAAGUUCAAUUUUGUAGAGACUUCAUGGUGCAAUGCUGGGUUCAUAUGGGCAAGCAUUCUGAAUCUGUGCUGCCCAUGUGGUCAGAAAACCUUCAGGUGCUGAAUAUAAUUUAAAGUGGCCCCAGGUUGGUGAUGCUCUGGAUGACUGGCAAAAACAACAGGCUUUAAGCAAAUAAAAAUGGAGAAAGUCUCCAUUACAUGAUUACUGUGAAAGAAAACUCUGAAGUUUCUAUAUAACAUAGGAGAAGGUAAAAUUGUCCCAAUCAGAAGGUCUGAGAUGCAAGAAGGAAUGGCAAGAUUUAGCAAGACUAUUGCUAAAUCUGUGGAUAAAUGUAAAUGUAUAUUGUAUAAAAUAAUAAUAUUUUACUUGUGGGAGAAAAGCAAGGUAAAACUGAAAUAUUAGACAACAAUGGCUUGUACAGGGGGGAGGUGUAAAGAGUUAAACAUUUUCUAAGAUUUUUUUUAAAGAGAGAGAGAGAGAGAUAAUUUUUUAGUAUUUAUUUUUAGUUUUCGGUGGACACAACAUCUUUAUUUGUAUGUGGUGCUGAGGAUCGAAUCCAGUGCCGCACGCAUGCCAGGCGAGCUUGCUACCGCUUGAGCCACAUCCCUAGCCCCUAAGGUUUUUUAUAUUAUUUAGGAUGGAAAUAAAAUAUUGAUUAAAUGUAGUUUUAAAGUAUGUAUGUGAAACUAGCUUUAGUUGCCAUUAAAAGGCUAGAUAUAGUAUAACUUGCAAAUAAAUAAAUAAUGAAAACAUAAUGGGAAAAACAAAACAGAAAAGCCUUAGUCAAUAUAAAUGAAGGCAAGAGAGCUGAGGAAAAAAGAUAAAAAAGAAAUAGAAAGGAAGAUAGAUAGAAAGUAUAUGCUACAGUUCUAGAGAUAAAUCCACAUACAACAGUAACCACAAUAACUUGAGUUAAAGAGAAAUUUUUUCAAAUGAAAUAAAAUACUGCCACAUGCUUUCUAUGAGAGACAUAGCUAAACAUAAAAACACAAAGAUUGAAAAUCAAAGGAUUAGAAAAAUAACACAGGGCUGGGGAUGUGGCUCAAGUGGUAGCGCACUCUCCUGGCAUGCGUGCGGCCCGGGGUUCGAUCCUCAGCACCACAUACAAACAAAGAUGUUGUGUCUGCCAAAAACUAAAAAAUAAAUAUGAAAAUUCUCUCUCUCUCUCUCUUUAAAAAAAAAAAGAAAAAUAACACAAACUACAUCUAAAGAAAACCUAGAGGAUAUAUUGGUCAAAAGGUAUAAAGUUUUCAUCAAGAUGAAUAAAUUCUGGGGAUCUAUAAUACAGCAUGGUAAGUGUAGUUAAUAAUAAUAUAUGUUUGAAAUUUGCUAAGAAAAUAGAUCUUCAAUACUUUCAUCCCAAAAAUAUUUAAGUGAGAGAAGUGAUGUGUGAAUUAUCUUGAUGUAAUCAUUUGGAAAUGUAUACAUAUAUCAAAACAUCACAUUGUGCAUCAUAAAUAUUUAUAUAUACACAUGCAAGUAAUUUUAAUUUGUCAAUUACAGUUUAAUAAAUCUGGGAGAAAAAGAUGUGAAUAAAAAUUAGUUUAUGCUCCCCUCAAAGGAAAACUGGUUAAAUUAAUAUUAAGCAAUAUAUAGUUUAUGGGUUAAAUAUGAAACUACUUCAUGAUGAAAAAGUUAAAUUUGGAUGAUUGGACUCAAAAUUAAGUGAUGGUUUUGGGAGGUGGGACUUUUGAGAGGGGAUUAGAUUCUGAAGACAGAGUUAUCCUGAAUGGGGUGAGGGCAUUUAUGAAAUAAGCCCAAGAGGCUCCCUUGCCCCUCCUACUGUGUGAUGACACAUGGAGAAGGUGCCAUCUGUGAACCAGAAAGUGGGCCUUCUUUAGACACAAAUCCCCUGGUGAUAUUUGUUGUUGUUUCUCUAUCUAGAAUUCUAAAAUUGUAACGAUUUAUUCAAAGCAUAACCAAAAUGCUUAAAACUUUUUCUCUUCCUUCUUUUUCUUUAGAAGCAAAGAACUCUGACAAUCAGUCAUGAUACCUUGACAGCAAAAGGAGAUGAGCUAAAUAAGCAGCUCAAAGAGUAGUGUUUAAAAGCCUUCAAGCUUAAGAAACAAUUAUAUUCUGUGACAUUUUUUGAAAGAAGAUUAGAAGAGGUAAUCUCCCAAAGAGUUUUCUGCCGAUGCUUUGAUUUGGAUUUCCAGCCUCCAGAAGUACAAGUAAAGUUUUUCUGUUAUUUACUACUUCAUUGCAUGGUAUUUUGUUAUAGCAGACUGAACAGACUAAGACAAUGAUAUAACAAAUCAAAACUUGCAUAUACUUAAUGACAUCGCAAAAUAUAGAGAGUAAAACUGGGCAUUACUUCAAAUGUACAUUGAUAAAUCCACAAGCAUAAUGGGAGAUAUUAAAUAUCUAUCAUAGUGAAUGACAGAUAAAGCAGACAAAAUAUCUAUAAGGACAGAGAAGAUUUAAAGAACAAAAUUGGUAAACUCAAUCCUCCAAAUUAGAGUCUACCCAUUCUUUUGAAGUAUAUAUGAUGUUUCGAAACUGACAUUGUCAUAACCAGAGCUUUUGUAUUUACUUUGUAGUGAGCUACUUCAAGUCAAAGGACUGGUAUCAUUUAGAUCACUUCACUAACCACAACACAACCAAAUUAGGAGUCAUUAAACAAAUACAAAUAGAAUAAUUCUAUAUAUUUAAAUAUUCUGAAACCACAUGUACCUAAGGAUCAAAGAAAAAGAUUACAGUAAUUAGAAAAUAUUACAUUCUGAAUCAUAAAAAUACUGCUCAUCAAAUCUCUGGGGAGUCAUAUGAAGUAGUUAGUAAAACUUAUUGUGCUUGUCAGUUUUCCAUCAUUGUGACAAAAUACUUGAAAUAAUCAACUUAUAAGGAGGAAAGAUUAAUUUUGACUUAUGUUUCACAGUUUCAAGUUCAUAGUCACUUGACUCUGUUGCUUUUGGGCCUGUGGUGAGGCAGAGCUUCAUGGCAGGGAGUGCAUGAUAGAACAAAGCCCCUUGCCUCAUGGUCCUCUGAAAGCAAAGAGAGAGAGAGUAGCAGCCCCAGUCCCAAUACCAGCUUCAGGAGUACACCCCUAAUGGCCUAACUUCCUUCCUCUAGCCCCACCUCUUGAAUGCUCUAUAACUUCCAAAAUAGCGCCACUAAUUGGUGACCAAGCCUUGGAAGUUUGUACACACAGCCUAUAGCAGAUGUCAAAUAUUAAAAUGUUGAAAGUAUUCCUCCUAAGAGAAAAAGACAUCAGAGCAUUAUUACUACUUCUAUUCGGCACUGUGUAAUAGACAUGAAAAAUUAAAUGUUUAAAUAUUAAAAGGAAGAAGCAAAACAACUGUGAUUUGCCGGUUGUUGAUUGUCUAUGAUGAAAAUAAUCUAAAAAUAAUUACAAUUAAAAAAAGUUUGUCAGCAUCACUAGAAGCAAAAUAAAUAUAUAUGUGUAUGUGUCAGUCAUAUUUCUAUAAGUUAGCAAUGAUUAUGUAAAAACUUUAUGUAAAAAUACCAUUUACAGUGGCCUAAAAUAGAAAAUAAUUGAAAAUAAAUAUAAAAAUGUAUAAUCAACGUAUGGAGAAAAUGAUUAAAACUUUUAAAAAAAUAUUGAAGAAUACCUGACUGGAAAGACAGAUAAUGUUUGUGUAUAGAAAACAGUUUUGUAAAGAUUUAAAUUCUUCCACAUUCAUCUAUAAAUUUAAUGAAAUUCCAAUACAACAAAAACCUUCACUGUGGCUUUUGUGGAGUCUGACAAGCUGAUUUGAAAAUUUACAUGAAGGAUUGAAAGACCAAGGAGGAAGAAUGGUGGAAAACUUGUACUACAGGGUAUGAAAACUUAUUAGACUUUGUAAUUAAGAAUAAUGAUGUCCGGGCUGGGGAUGUAGCUCAGUGGUAGAGCACUUACCAAGAAUGUGUGAGGCCCUAGAUUGUAGCAACAGUUCUGGAAAAAAACAAAACAAAAAAAACCAAAACCAAAAAAAAUACACUUUAUCUUAUAUUGUAACCAAAAAUCAAUCUACAUUGUAAAAGAAUUAAUGUGAAAGGCAAAUCCAGAAAAUUUUAGAAUAGCAGAUAGGGGAAUAUCUUCAAGAACUUGAGUAAGGGAGGGUUCUUAAAGAAGACACAGAAGUGCAAACUAACAUGGGAAAAGAUUAAUGCAUUAUAUAGUCAAUUAUAUUAAAAUUAGGAACUCAGGCCAUUGGAAGACACAAUAGUGAUAAUGAAAAAGAUAAACUGAAAGUCUAUAGGUUUUUGCAACUUGUAUUAUUGACAAAAAAUUAGUAUCUAGAAUAUAAAGUUGAUGUCAGAGGUUCCCAGGUGAAGAGUGCCAGUACAUCUUUAUAACAUGGCAGCUGGCUUCUUUCAGGAUGACUGAUUCCAAAGAUGGUCAAGAUCUCUGAUGUCCUUCGUGAUCUUGCCUCAGAGAUCACAGUCCAUCAUUUUUUAAAUAUCUUUUUGCUUACACCAAUCAGCUGUGUUCAUCGUGAGAGUGUAUUUCAUAAGGAUGUGAUUACCAAGAGGUGAGAACCUUCUGUGAGGCUAGUUACCAAAAUUACACAUCUGAAAAAUUGACAAAAAUUAAAAAGUCUCUCACUCCCUAUCAUGAAAGGGACACAGUCACAUGCACCAGAGUUGUAAGGAUAAUUCGUAGGCAGAAGAGUUAUCAUGCUGUAUGGAUUCUCCUUCACUUGCCAUUCUUUUGGGGAGAAAGAAAGACUUGAGGGCUAAUCAGCCAAGUUGUCUUUCCUCAGUCCAGGGAUGUGGAGCAAUGGAAAAACUAUUUUGUGGUAAUAUAAACUGUGGGAAUAGAAAUAAGCUUGUGGGAUUAUAAACUGGAACAACCAUAUCCAAAAAUAUGUGGGCUUCCUGGAAAAACUGAACUUGUGCCCAACCUGUGAUCCAGAAACUCCACUCCUAUCAAGUACCUUAAAGACACCUUUGCACAUGUUCACAGCAGUUUAAAUCAAAAGAUCAAAAAUUCAAAAAUAAUCUAUAAGUAGAUAAAAUAAUUAUGGUCUAUGCUAUGGAUUAAAUAUACUUGUGUCCCAUAAGGACCUGUCAUAAAGGCUUGGCUUCCAAGGGGGAGCUGUUGGGAGGUGGUGGAGACUUUGAAAGGUGGGGCCUCCUGAGAGGUCCUUAAGUCCUUAGGGGGAGGUUAUUAUGGUGUGAAUCCUUAAGUUCUUCAGAGAGGAUUACCUUAAAAGGAACAAGCCUGGUCUGGUUCACGUUCCCUUCUGCUCCUGUUGGAGAUGUGAUGAUCCUUCCAAUAGUACUCCUGCCAUGGCUUCACUCCAUGAAGUGAUACAGCCCCCAUGAGGCCUGAGCUCUAUGACCUUGAAUCUCCAAAACUCUGAGAUAACUAUAUCUUUUAUUUUUAUGAAGUCAGUUGCCUCAGGUAUUUCACACUUCAUUGUGUUUGACUGGUUAUACAAUAUAGACAUUUCUCCUUAUGAUAUACCAUUACGGGUUUAGUUACUAUGUAUGUCAUAUAGAAAAGAAAAAUACUUCAGUCAACGGAGUGGUAUUUCACUGAAGUAACACAAACUGACCAUUACGUUAUAUCUAUAAAGUGGAAUACUAUAUGGUAAUGCCAAAAUCAGUGAACUACAUACAGGUACAUGUAACAACCUUAGGGAAUCUGAAAAACAAUGUUGAACAAAAGAUUCAAGUCAUGAGGGAAUAGACUCAAUAUAUUUUUUUAGAGAGCCAUAUGUAUGAAGUAAAACUGUAAAGAAAAGCCAGAGAAUGAUCAAUACAAAACAUAGGAUGGUGGCUAUUUCUGUGGGAAAGCAAUCAAGAAGCAAUUGGAGACGGGUUCAUAAAAGGUUUUAAGGAACUGCUGAUAUUCUACUUCUCAAUAUAAAGAGCUCGAUAGAGAGCUUAUUAUUCUUUAAACUCUACUGAGACAUUUAUACAGUCCUUUUGUAAAAAUGAUAUGCUUCACAAUGAAAAACAUUGAAAAUUAAAGUGUUCUUUAAAAAGGACACAAUUUAAAAUGUCAGAGCUAUUUCAGUGAGCAAUGAAUGUUCUUAAAUAUUCAUCAUUAUGCAUCAAGCAUCUCCCCAUCCUCCAUUCUUCCCUGUCAAAAUAGAAAAGUAUAAAUGUACCGAGCCUGGAAAAGAGAGUGGAGUUUCCUUAAUUUGAAAAUGUUAUGCCAAAAGGCAUAGUAAUUUGCCUGGGUCCACUGAUUCUUUGUCUGGCUCCAGAGCUCUGAUGUGGAAUUUCAGGAGAAGAGUUAAGUAGCAGCCCCAAUCCCAACUUUGUGCAAGAGAAAAAUUAGAAUUUAGUCAAAACUGACUUAUUGGGUGAAUUCUAUUUUUCAGGUCUGUAGCAUCCAUAAUUUUAAUCUUGAAAUAUACAUUGCCUUCUUUAUUCUCCUGAUUGUUAUUCAAAGUUUCAGACAAGAAAUUUUAGCAACUUCACUAUUACCUAAGUGGCUUUUUUAAAUUGUUGGUUGUUCAAAACAUUACAUAGUUCUUGAUAUAUCAUAUUUCACACUUUGAUUCAAGUGGGUUAUGAACUCCCAUUUUUACNCGAGAAGGGGAAUAGCUGGGUCAAAUGGUGGUUCCAUUCCCAGCUUUCCAAGAAAUCUCCAUACUGCUUUCCAAAUUGGCUGCACCAAUUUGCAGUCCCACCAGCAAUGUACAAGUCUAAGUGGCUUUAAAUACUAGGGUUCUGAUGAUUAAAAUUUAGUAGAAAGAAUAUUUCCAGAAAUAAAGACAUUUUUUUCUAAUGCAUAUACUAAUCACUAAAGUUUUAGAAAGUAAAACUCUUGCCAAAUCAUAGAUACCUUCAAUAAUGUAUAUGCAUUUUAAUUACAUAAUUAUAUAAAAAUAAUUCACUGGUACAAAAAAUCAGCAGCAUAGAUUUGAUAUACCCAUGUAUCACAUAGAGAGUUCUUUGGUUGCAAGCCACCAAGUUCAAGUAUGAUUUGAGUCUGCUGCAGUCCGGCUGGGGGGGGGGGUGACGAGCAACUUGUGUAGAUUGAUACAGCAGGAGUAGGAGCCAUUUAUUGUAGGAUAGGAGUGGUAUAUAUACAUUCCACACAGCUUAUCUUAAUUAACAUAAAAUAGAUCCAUCAGUCAACCAAUAAGGAAUCUCCACACUUAAUGGCUCACUGGCUACUUCACAAACCACUCCCUCUGGCAAAAUGCCAGGCGCCAUCCAGUCUUGUUUACAGACCUUAACAUUAACCACUCCCCUCUGGCAAAAUGCCAGGCGCCAUCCAGACUUAUUUACAGACUCUAACAUGAGUCGAACUAAAAAAAGAAUUUCCAGAAAGGAUAUGGAAAGUUUUAUCAAAGUGAAGAAGCAACUGAGCAACUAGACUUUGAAAGGCAGGAAUUAUAGUAGCUCUAGGAAUCUACAUAAUGGGACUUAAUGGGCAGUACUUUUUUCCCUAGGUACAAUAAUCAAAAUAGAUUAGCUUCACUAUUUUUUUGAUUCAUCUGCCAUUGUGCUCAACUUUCAAAUUCCUGCUAUGAUCUGGACUGAUUUGGGUCAUGUGACCAUUUCUUGAUAAGAGGAAAGUACAUUUUAAUGGACAUUUUCUCUAAGACUGCUACUGUUAUAGGGUUGCAUAUCAGGUGAGGGGCAAGAUUUUCCAAAGGUGCUGUUACUGAAAGAACAUUGAGGUUGGGUUGGCAAAAGAGUGGAUAACCACUCUAUGUCCUUUAACAGAAAUUAUUUUUGCUGAAAUAUUCUUAUUCAGAAUCAUUGCACAAAAUAAAUUAAUGUUACAAACAUCUAGGCACUGUCCAAGUCUGCUGGUCUGCACAGCUUAAACAGCAGAAAUUUAUUUUCUCAUAGUUCUGGAAGCUGGGUGUGUAGAUUGGGAUUCCAGCAGUUGGGUUCUGGUGAGGGCAUUGUUCCUGUCUUGUGGACAACUUCCAUCUCUCAGAGUCCUCAUAUGUAUGGCCUUUGCUCAAAGCAUGUCUGUGGAUAGAGACCACUCUCUUCCUCUUAUCAGAUGACAAAUCCUAAUAGUUUAAGACCUCUCAUUUAACCUUAAUUACCUCCUAAAAGUCCCACUUCCAACAACAGUCAUAUUGGACCUCAUUUAAUCUUCAUUACUUCCUAAAGGCUCUUUCUAGAAACAGUCACCUCGGCGGUUUAUGGCUUCAACGUAUAAAUUUGUAGGACAUAAUUUUAUUCAUGGGACUCACGAUUUGCUACUUCAUUUUUGAUCAUUUUCUCAUCUCUCCAUUUAAAUAUGAUUUCAAAGUCCAGUGAGUAAGUGCCAGCCAUUUCCUGCGUCAUCUGUCAGGGGUUUGUCAGCCUCUGUGGGGAUCACUGCUGUUGGGCCCUUCCUCUCCUCCUUCUAGACCAAGCAGCGCUGUGCUCAAGGCCAAGGGCCUAUCUCCAAUGUCCAUGUGCCAGGCUGGCUUGCUGAGUCUAUUCCUGUUCUGCAGUUCAUCUCUACUGCACUCAGUGCUCUCAUCUUUGUAGUUUCCUCUUUCCAUUUUUCAGACACCUAACAGGAAUUACUUGGAGGAAUUGUGUGAAAUCGAAGGAACACACGGAAGUCAGAGCACCUGUGUUCCAUUCCUAGUUCCAGCACUUCCAAACUGUGUGACUUUAGGGAAAUCAUUUAAACUUCAGUAAGUUCAUUAUGCCACAAGCUUUCUUACUUGUGGGUGUUGUGCUAGAUAUUGGGAAAUCGGUGAUAUGAGCUUUGAAGGCCACAGUAUAAGAUGCUGCAAGAGCAUGAAGCUGGGGUGGUAACAGUGACUGUGAAGUACAGAUCGCAGACGGCUUUCCUGAGGAAAUGGCUCUUGGGAGAGAAAUUAAGAAUGAGUAGGAGUCAUCUGGGAGAAACGGGGGAGUGCAGACCUUGAGGUGGAGGCCUGGGUACGUUGGGAAGAGUGGUGAUGCAGUAUGAGGCUGGGCAAGGCAGAGGCAUCCAUCAUGCCCUGAAAACAGUUUGUUCUCCCUUCCAGCUCCUGUGGGGAUACAGCACGUGCUUGGGCAUGUGUUUUUGAAAGAUCAUACUACAACAUGGGGGAGUACUGGAAAGCAGUAGAGGUGGCUGUUACGGUUUAGAGGUGAGGUAUUCCACAAAAGCUCAUGUGUGAGACAAUGCAAGAAAGUUUAGAGGUAAAACAAUUGGUUUAUGAAAGCCUUAACCAAAUCAGUGUAUUAAUUCCUUGAAUGGAUUACCUGGGUGAUAACUGUAGGCAGGUGGGGAGUCGCUGGAGGAGGUAGGUCCCUGGCAGUAUGCCUGUGUGGUACAUGUUUUGUCCCCGGUGAAUGGCAGGGCUCUCUCUGCCCUCCGAUUGUCAUGUCCUGAGCUGCUUUCCUCCUGCACACCCUUCUACCUCACUCCAUGGAGUAGGCCAUCUCUGGACUUAAAACUUCUGAAACCUUGAGCCCCCCAAAUAAACUUUUCCUCUAAAAAUGAUCUUGUCAGGUAUUUUGGUCACAGAGGUGAAAAAACUGGCUAGAACAGUGAUUGUGGCUAGUUCAGUGAAGUGGCGCCAAAGAGCAACGGUUUAGAAUUGGACAGGAAAAAUAGAGAUAAAUAAACAUGUGAGUCAUUUCUUAAACAGGCCACGGUGCCUACAGAUUGUAUUACAUCUGCCUAACCAGUCCAUAGUGUUGUUUUCUGACUUGUGCACUCAAAAACAAUUAUUGAGAAAUUACCACAUGUUAGACGUGUUUCUAGAUGCCCAACAUACAGAACAAAAUAAAGACUGGGACCUCACGAAGCUGACUUCCUAGUAAAAUUGUUUGCAUUCUAGUGUGAUUAUUCUAGAUGGGAUUAAAUGCUCUAUGCAAGCUAUCAAAAAUAUGAAUGGGUACUGUGGGAUUUGUAGUUUUUUUGAACUCAAGAGAACAGUCUUCCUCAACUUCCUCCCUGUAUUAGUUUCCUUUUGCUGCCAUCAUAACAACUUCUUACAAACAUUAAAGCUUAAAAUGACACAAAUGUAUUAUCUUGAAAUUUGGAGGUUAGAAGGCUAAAAUGGCCGUCACGGAGCCCAAACACAGCAGCCAUAGAGCUACAUCCUGGAGGCUCUCGGGGAGAAUCCAUUUCCUUGCCUUUUCCAACUUCUAGAGGCCACCUGCAUUCCUGGCUCAUGGCUAUUGUCUCUCUUCAAAACCGACAAUAGCCAAUUCAGUCUUUCUCUCAUCAUGCCAUUCUGCCCCUCACUCUCCUUUCCUCUCUUUCACUUAUAAGGAUUCUUGUGAUUAUAUUUGGGCCCCACCUGGAUAAUCCCAAAGAACCUCCCCAUCUGGAGAUCUUUCACUUAAUGUCAUCCGCAGUGUCCUUUUUGCCCUGUACAGUGAUGCACUAACAGGUUCUCAGGGUUAGGAUGUGGGCAUCUUUGGGAGUGCCGUCUGCCCUCCCUAUGCACAUGGAGUAUCCCAAGUCAUGAACAGAAGCACGUUUUCUCUUCUCUCUUUUCAGUUGUGUUCACACUGUGCAAAUGAGGAGCAAAGUGGCUGAAAUACAGGGACAACCAAAGUGAAAUCAGUCCUUUUCCUCUGUGCCGGAGAGGUGUCAAGAGAACCCUGGAGAGCUUCCUCUUUAUUAGGGAGUCAAGUGUCAAGUUUGCAGGACUCUUUCAGUGCUGCUGGGGAGAAGGACCCAGCAGGUUGUUUCUGGUUAUUACACUUGACACACUGUUUUCCGAGUAUUCCAGCUAAGGUACAGAAAUCUGUGAGAGUUCUGUGGAGUGAUAUUUCCUACCUACAGGAUUACUACUGGGAAGAAAAGGUGCUCCCUUUAAAGAAUACUCUGACACAUUUUUUAGCACAGAGACAGGAAAAAGAUUCAAAUGAAUAAGAAAAUAUGAAAUUUGUUUUCUGGUAGGGGAAAAGAUUCUAAGCAACUCCUGAAAGCAUUACUCUUUCCCAUAAAGCUACAUAUUUGAGGUAUGAGAAAAACACCACUGGGGAUAUUUAGUGACCCAUUUAAAAUGAAACUAAUUGGCAUUUCAUCAUCAGGGUCCUGGCCGAAAUUUUACGAAUCUCUCCCCAUAGCCCCUGUAGAGGAGCAGCUGAGAAGAAAAGAAGGUUAUGUUCAAGCCCUCUUCUUGCCUUCAAGCAAAUUACAAGGAUUUUUCUGAUUCCACAUAAGAACCUGCCAACUCAGUUACAGUAUGUGAAAAAUUAACCCUUAUAGCUGCACAGUUCAGUGAGAUGCAAGGGAGGUUUGAAGAUGCCUUAAUCUUGGGUGCUCACUCUUCAGCCUUAUACAACUGGGCCUGGCUGGGACUGCCCAGGUCAGUUUGGACCUUAAGGCCCUGGGAUAGGAAGGGUUUAAGGACUGGCAGUGGGGAAUGGUUGAAAAUAUGUGGUUUGAGAGGGAGUCUGGCUAUUAGAAUGUUCAAGAAGACAAGGCAAAUGGCAUAAUCUGCCCUUGUGAGUGUAUGCCUUGGGCAUUACAGAUGAGAAUGUCGAUGAUGCAAGGGUGUGCUGGGAAAGGGGCAGGAGAAUGAGCUUUCUGGUCAUGUGUCUUUUAAGUUUGUAAUUUCCUAUCUACUUGGUCAUCUGGUCAGAUUUCUUUCUUCAAUGGAAAUGAUUCUCGGUUUUCCCUGCUCAUGAGACAGCCCCUGGGAGAAGCAACAAAACUAACCUCCGGCAGAAUGAGCCUCAUCUUUGAAGGACAAAUGCAUGAGAGGCACCCAAUGGGAAAUAUCCACUUUCCUGGACUCACAGGCCUUUCUUUCUUCCAAACAUUUUCAGAAACACUGCCCUCUACUUUCAGUCCUUGUAAUCAGCAUCAUCUCAUCCACACCUUUCAGCUGCUGGCAACUCAAUGCCCGCAGCCUGGUUCCCUCACCUUCCUUCUCUGCAGUUGCAUUCUCAAGUGUCAAAGGCACCAGCGGAAGAACAGAGGCUACUUCUACCAGAAGCAGAGUGUCUCCUUUCCCAUACCCCAAGGAGGGAAAAGGAUGAAAGGGAGGUGAGGGAGACUCUCUCCUUCCCUUUCAGAAUCCUGGCAUCAAAGCUCUGCUAGGAUUUACAUAAGGUACUUUAUUGUGGACUGCAGUUCUAUGGGCUUUUCUAUUAAAGCUAGAAUUGAUUCACUAGGUAAUAAAUGGAAGAAUCCUCCCUAGGCUCUCCAGCAAAAUUACUUAUGCUAUUAGCAGCAUUAAGCAGGCUUUUACAACUGGAGAUAAGCCACCCUGAUGUUCUGUCUAUUGGGAGGUGUGCAAGACAGUGAUACUUCAUAUGGUGGAGAGUAGGUAGCAGGGACAGAGGGAAAGGUGGCCUUUUGUGUCUCUAAGUCCCUUGGUUAGAGUUUUUCAUGUUAGGAAUUGUUCUUUCAUUCUUUCGCUAGAAAUCCACAGCUCAUUAAAACCAACUAGACACAGAGAGCAUAAGAUAACAACCACUUUAAAACUCUGACUUUGCCUUAGGGUUUAGCAACCUGCCUAUUCAAAUUGCCCUGGUUUUGAUCUUAAAGCAAAGCUGCCUCUGUAAAUAAAUCACCAGGUAGCCCUGUCCAUGGCUCUGAGACGUCUGUGUUACUGAGCUUGUCACUUCUCUCUUUUAGCUGCCUGCAGUUCCACAGACCAGUGCAAGUCUGCACAACCUGAGCUGCUGGUUGCAGGCUGCUGAGCUGUUGAAUGAGAGAAGGUCAGUGGAAUGCUGUGGCUGAACUCCAUUAAAAGUUCAUCUCAGGGCCCCAGAGUCACAUACUCUGGAAGGAGGUCACAUGAUAGGUAUUCUGUAGCCUCUUUUAUAAUAGAAAAGUUCCAAAACUGUUUAAAUGAACUCUUAUAUUAUUGUUGUUGUUACAUAUUCUCCUUGAAGGAAUCACAUAAUGAGUUCUUUGUCAACCCAAAUAAGCCUCUCUUAUUUUAUCUCUUCUUGAAAUGCUGAUUGUCAUAUGUGGAAAAUGGUUUUCCUCACAAGUACAGGAAACAUGGGCAAGUAGGUCAUUUACCAGCAAUACAAACUGUUGAGAGUUAAUCAUUCCCACCCCUAUUCCCAGUAAAUCUGUUUUGUGUGUCCCAACUUGGCAUACAUUUUGUAGAACAUGGGCGAACAUCUGAAGACAAUAUAUCUGUUAGGCAGCCCAGGCCUCUCUGGUGUGUGGUAUUUUUUAAUGUGGUGACUCUUGAAUAGGCUGGGGAAGGACAUGGUGACCUUGCAAUCCUAAUGGUUCUGACGGUCUCACUCCCUGGGACACAGUGUCUUCCAAGACAAAGAGGGCAAUGCAAAGCAGCAGAGAGUGUGUUCUUCAGACACCAAAAGCAAAAAAAAAAAAAAAAGAAAAAAAAAGAAAAAAGAAAAGAAACCUUAAGGAGCCAGGUUUUGUAUACUGAAGUUCACCUUAAUGCGCUUCCUCCUCUGGCGGAUGAAAAUGACAUUGAACAUUUAACAACUCACAUUUAAUGCAGUCCCAGUUGGAGCCAGAGUGGCACUCAAUAAACAAGAAUGGACAUGACACUCUAAAUCAAGCAACACAGGGAGAAGGAAUUUCUUGAAUUCAAAAGGAUACAGAAGCUAAAUGUCACUUCAGCUGUGACCAUUACUCCCAGCCAGUAUGAGGCUUCAACAUUUACAAAAUGCAUUUAAUUCCUACAGAAAUCUGGAGGGUGAGCAUGCUGGCUUGAAUUGUGUCUUCCCAAAGGAUAUGCUAAAGUCUAAACAUCAGUGCCUGUGAUGUGACCUUAUUUAGAAAUAGGAUCUUUGCAGACAUAGCCAAGUUAAGGUGAGGUCACACUGGAUUAGCACGGGCCCUAAUCCAGUUACUGGUGUCCUUAUAAAAUGAGGGAAAUAUAGACACACAGAAAAGAGAAAGCCAAGCGAAGACACAGACACACCAGGGGAAGAUGGCAGAUACUGAGUUAUAAAGCAGUGAGCCAAGGGCUCCAGAAACCGAGGAGAAGUAUGGGACACAUUCUCCCUCUGAUCUUGCAAGAAGGAACCAACUCUAAUGACACCUUGAUUUUGGAUUUUUGGUGCCUAGAUCUGUGGGGGAAAAAAAUUCUGCUAUUUUAAGCCACACAGUUUUUGGUACUUUGUUAUGGCAUCCCUAGCAAAUUAAUAAGUGAGUAUUCCAUUUAUAGGGUGAAAACACAGAUUUCAGAGAUGCUUAGGAAUUUGCCCAAGAUUAUAUAGCAGGUAAACUGUUCCAAUGGGGACUUGAAACCCAGAGUUGUAAUGACAAGUCCUAGACCUUUUUCUCCACGUGACCUUGUCUUACAGGAUGUGCGUUACAUGGGCCUGUUUAGAAAAUUAACUGAUCUCUAUGUCUGAAAACAGUUGGCAUGGAAUAAUAAAGAGAUGUGUAGAAAUUCUAUUUCUGGGUAUAUACCCAAAGGAAUUGAAGGCAGGGCCUCAAAGAGACCCUGUAUGUUCACUGCAUUAUUCGCAAUAGCCAUGAAGUAGAAACAACUGAAGUAUCCCAAACAGAUGAAUGGAUAAACAAGAUGUGGUCAUGUAAGGGACUGUUUUUCAGGCUUAAAAAAGAAUGAAAUUAUGACAUGGCUGCAAUUUAGAUAAGUCACUGGGACAUUAUGCUAAGUGAAAUAAAUCAGUCACAAAAAGACAAAUACGGCAUGAUCGUUUACAUGAGGGACAUAUAGAAUAAUCGAAGCCAAAAGGAAAUAGGAAAUUAAUUAUCUGGCAUCAAAUUUCCAUUUUAUAAGAUGAAAGAGUUCCUGUUUUAGUCAUCUUUUUUUUGCUGCUGUGACUAAAGGACCUGACCAGAAAAACUGUGAGGGGGGGGGGAAGUUUAUUUGGGGACUCACAGUUUCAGAGUUCUCAGUUCAUAGACGGUAGGCUCCAUUCCUCGGGGCUCAAGGUGAGGCAGAACAUCAUGGCAGAAGAAGUAUGAGGAGGAAAGGGGUUCACAUGAUGACUAGGAAGCAAAGAGAGGCUCACCAAAUAUACACCCCAAAAGGCAUACCCCACAAUGACCCACCUCCUCUAGACACAUCCUAUCCGCCUUCAGUUAACACUUAGUUAAUCCCAUCAGGGGAUUAAUUCACUGAUUAUGUUAAGGCUCUCAUAACCCAGGCAUAUCUUCUCUAAACCUUCUUGUAUGGUUUUACACAUGAGCUUUGGGGGACACAUCACAUCUAAACCACAACAGUUCCGAAGAUUGAUUUUAUAGCAAUAUGAAUGUAGCUACCACUACUCAGCUGUAUGCUUAAAAAUGAUCAACAUGAUAAUUUUUUUUUGAGAGAGAGAGAGAAAGAUCGAGAAAGAGAGAAGAGAGAGAGAAUUUUUAAAUAUUUAUUUUUUAGUUUUUGGUGGACACAACAUCUUUAUUUUAUUUUAUUUUUUAUGUGGUGUUGAGGAUCAAACCCAGCACCCCGCGCAUGCCAGGCGAGCGCGUUACUGCUUGAGCCACAUCCCCAGCCCAUGAUAAUUUUUUUUUUUAAAGAGAAAGUGAGAUAGAGAAAGGGAGAGAGAGAGAGAGAGAGAAUUUUUAAUAUUUAUUUUUCAGUUAUCGGCGGACACAACAUCUUUGUUUUUAUAUGUGGUGCUGAGGAUCGAACCCGGGCCGCACGCAUGCCAGGCAAGCGCGCUACCGCUUGAGCCACAUCCCCAGCCCCCAUGAUAAUUUUUGUAUGUGUGUUUUUACCACAAUUAAGAGAGAGUGAGAGAUGUGGACAAGUCUUCCUUGUCAUGGCUAUGAGAAUGCUGCUAAAUAGAAGAGGCUGUUUUCCUUACUGGAGAAUACUGCUUCUGCCUGGGGCUUUACCCUAGGGGAGCAUUCAGAAGAAGGGGAUUGCUUACCUUCCUUCAGUGGGGCCUGGAAGCCCACAACUCCAGCACCCACUCAGCCACUAUUAUUCCAAACUGCUGUUAGAGGAAGUUUGGUUCAGGUGUUCAGCAUGUGCUUCAGAGACAGUGCUGUGUUCUUUCAAAACUUAGGGAACAUAACUGUUCUUUGAUAGGAGGUGAAUUAUGCUAGCUUAUGGUGAAGAUGGAAGCCAUGAGGCUCUCUCCAAAGGAACGGUCUCCUUCACCUCCAGAAUCAUGCCUUGUGGUAGCAGAGCUCUGACUGACUGGUGCAGCAUUGGCUUUAACUCCCACAUGAGAAGAGCCCUCAGGCCUGCUGGGGGCUGUCUCCCAGUGUUCUAGAUGGGUGGUUGUAGGGCAGGCUUAAGAUGGCUAUACUUAGGCUUCCUCGCUGAGACUUCCGCAGUUAUGUUUUAGUAUGUAGUCAAGAUCACAGACACCCUGAUUCAGCAUAUUUACUCAAGACCAUCAACAUCUGCUUGUGAGCAUGUGCUUAUUUAUGUAACCUGUUAGCACUGCACUUUCUUUCUUUGGCCUGAACAUAAAAAAAGGCCUAUGGAAAGAUGCUGGAAGACCGGAGCUGCUGCCACCAUCAAAUAAGGCAUGUCUACAUUGAAUUGUGCCUCUCGUCUUCCUUCACUUGUCAGGAUCCUUAAUCUCUCAGGGGCUGAGCCCUUGCAGGACAGUGGUACAUGCCUUUAGAGAUGGUCCCUGAUUUACAGUGGUUAGACUUAGGAUUUUUUUUUUUUUUUUGUCAUUAGGAUGGUGUGAAAGAGAUAUGCCUUCAGUUGAAACUACUUCAAAUUUUGACUUUUGAUCUUUUCCUGGGUUAGCAAUGUACUGUAGAUUCUCUCAUGAUGCCCACCGUAGGUGGAGGUAAGCAUUCUGAACUCGAUUAAGGUAGGUGAGGCUGAGCUGUGACGGUCAGUAAUUCAGAUGUGUUAAAUGCAUUUUCUACAUACAUAUUUUCAACUCAAUGAUGGGUAAUUUAUGACCCAUCAUAAGAUAAGGAGCCUUUAGUAUUUUGCACCUAGCUGGCACACACAUUCACAGUCUGAUUUAUUGGACAUUUACAACUUGUUCUGCUGAGAGUUUAGGAAAUGCAAAGGGGGCAUCACAGACCUAUAAAUGUCAUGGUUCUAAUGAAAUGUGUGCUUCCAGCCCCUUUGACUGACCUCUAAGCGUGGCAGCUCCUGUGCUUCCAUAGUCCUUUACCUUCCAACUGGGCUCAGUUCCUGGGAGGUGCUGCAAGAGACAGGCAGGAAGAAGGAGAGUCCAUUUGCGACAGGUGUUCUCUCUGCUCCCUCCCCGCUGGACCUUACUAAAGCCUCCACUCUGGUGGGGGAUGGGGGUAGGGCCCUCCAGGGCUCCAGCAACAGUCUUCCUUCCCUUCCUUUUUAGGCUUUAGGGGUAUAAUGGCCUCCUGUGGUUGCCAGGUCCUGGGUGUUCAUUUUCUAGCCUGGCUUUUUUUUUUUAAUUUUUAGUUGUUGAUGGACCUUUAUUUUAAAUAUUUAUUUAAAUAUGGUGCUGAUAAUCGAACCCAGUGCCUCACACAUGCUAGGCAAGCUCUCUACCACUGAGCCACAACCCCAGCCCAAGUCUGGCUUCUUUUAAUCUUGCCCACACCUCUGUAAAUAGUUCCUUUUAAAAACUCUUCAAUCACUCCCUUGGGACCAUUUGAUCCUGCUGGGACUCUGAAUGAUUCAAUGAAGGCCAGGACAAAAGUUAUCCCAGAAAACCAAGGGGGCUAGGAGAGGACCAGGAAUAAUCAAAAUCAAAAUCAAAAGUUGAUUGAUGUACUUAGGUUCACUGACUUGCUGACUGGGCUUUUUAACAUUAAAGGCCCAACAGCUCCAUUGACUUGGCUAACAUUUUAUUUUCAGUGGUCUACAAAUCUUUUAAGACAUCCACCUUCUACAUGUUCUGCCCAUUAUCCCAGACUACAGAUAAGGUGUGAGUGUUUUGAGGACUAGCCAUUAGGAAGAGCUAUGCACGGGUAACCCACUCCAAAAGAGAAAUAAUAAUAAUAUAAGUGACAACUAAUAUUUAUUGUUUAUCAUAUGCUAGGCACUGUGAAAAAUCUUUUAUAUAUCAUCUUAUUAAAUCCUAAGAACAAAACUCCAUGAAGCAAACACUCAGUUUUACACAUGAGAAAUCAAGUGUAGAGAGGCUAAGUAUUUGCUCCCAGUUUUAGAAGUUGAACCCAGGCCUUUAACACCAGAACCAGAGCUCUUAAAUAUUGUAUAAAUAAUCCACCAAAUGUGGCUCCAGUACUACUGGGGGAACAGGAGAUGAUUUGGGGACCAACUAUGGGCAAAGAGUAUUAUUAGAUUACUUAUGUAUUUCUACUUAAGAUCACCUUCUAUUUAUGACAGGUGAUAACUGGUUUUCCAUUUUCAAUACUACUGUAGUUUCCUUUUCAAAAUAAAUAUAACAAAAACAAUAAAUAAAUUUAAAGAAAAAUAUGAAAGAACUGUGUAGGAUGAGUAUAGAUAUGACCAAAAUUAUGAUUGAAAUUCACGGUUAUACUCCACACUAGCUCUCAACAAGCCCUAAGUGUACAUACCAAACAAGAUUGCUAUAAAUUAAGACAAUUAAAUAUAUGCACAUCUGUUCCCAAACACCUUUCCUGAUUAACUCACCCACAUUUUGCCUAUUUCUAGAGAAGACUGUUCACAAUACCAUGAGUUUUUCUACAACUAGGGUUUCUGUGCCACCAGUGGGCUCCUGAGAGUCAAAAUAUAAGGGACUAAUGCCAUUCUAAUAUCAGAGUUGUGUGGGUUCCUGUUUCAACUUUUCCUAGUUGAGAUGCUAUGAAAGUACAAGUAGAGUUAAAAUCACUUAACAGGAAAGGGAAAGUCCACAACCUCCCUGCUGCACAGAUUGGAGCUCUUUCAGCUGUGUUAGAAUGAAAAGAGCGCCUGACCCAGGGUUUCCUUCCAGAGAUGUGUCCCCCCAGACUUUCCUGUGCAGUAUCCCUCUCCCUUCCAAAUGAGGGUCACUGCAUUUCUAGAAAACUAAAUAUAGCUUUGUAACAGGACAGGAUUAGGGUCCCAGACACUUUGGGGGAAGUGACAUGGUCUGUUUCAUGUCACCUACUUUUCCCAGAUGCUCACAAAAUGUGCCACCCUAACACCUCUGUCACUGGUUAGGAUAAUUUUAACCUGGCUUCAUCUUAGCUGUUGGUCUGAGCUGUGAUACCCAAAACUAGUUACAACUAGUCCUGUCCUCUCGAAGACACGAUUCUGACCAGGGAGAGGGUAGGAUGAGUUCUUUUGCCAAUUUCAACCCCUCAGUGUUUGACUGAAGAUGAUGCCGCCUGGUACUGACUACUUUUUACUGGGCUGAUCCUUCAGUCAUGGUCCCCCAGAGUUGAGAGAAUGCAUCUACAAAUGUGCCAGAUCGUAUCUUCACAGACAGAACUUUGAACCGCAACUUACAGCAGGGAACAUGCCCAGGAAACUGAUUCCUUAUCUAUAAUAAACAACCCAGGAAGCCAGUCUGCUAUAAGUCAAGACUUGCAGGAAGCCAAAUGGUUCUCUCCAGUGACAGUCCAGGAAGACAAACGGUAACUUUCAUAACACUCAGCUCCAAAUGGCCAGACUUCAUUAAUAACUGACAGCUCCUCUUGAUUUUUGUCCCCUCUUUCAAACGAGGACCAAUCAUAGAUCUUCAAACAUGCGCCCGCCCCUAAUGGAUCCCACAGGAUGUGCUGGUCCUGGUUUGCCCAUUGGUAGCUUUCCCAGACCAGCAGCCUUCAAUCAGGGCAUACCUGAAGCGUUCUUUCUUUUCCACAAUGGAACUUUCUGGCUCCUCUGCCUGCAUUGGGGUCUCUGCCCAAACACAAGUAGCAGUGGCCAACUCCCUGCUCUAGCAAGCUCAGACUAAAUAGCCUUGUUUUUCUCAUUGAGGUGAUCUUUGUUUACUUCCACAGAGCCUGUAUGUAAUCUGCUUAUUCUUCUACCCACCCCACCUUAGGGCCUUGCCUAGUGAUAAGACCCCAAAUCUCAGUUUGUGCUGUGUAGACGAGAUUUCUUCCUUUGCUAGGAGAAGAGCUGGGAUAGAAGAGGGUGUUGGUGGGAGCUUAUUCCUGGAGGCAGAGCUGGGUAUACCUUGAGAGCUUGCCACAGAAGUGGCUUGCCACUUCUCUUAAGAGCCAGUGAUCAGGCCAGACUGCUACUGGGUUUCAGCUCCGGUUCCUACUUUAUUUCCCAGUCCCACCUCACCAUGAUUGUGGCCUACCCUUACUCCUGCCAAAUCCUCCGCAGGACUUAGUCCCUGCAGCCUGUGUCAGAUGCAUGAGUAGCCAGCAACCUUCUCCCAAGCUGCUGCCACAGUGAUGUAUGAAUCAUUCAUGAUUUUUUAGCAGACUGGAAGGUGACCACAUGGUGGCACUGUAAAGCUGCCUAUAGUCUCCAAAAGUUGUCAAACUGCAAAGCCCCAGGGAGUUGAGAUCUAUAUUUUCCUGUUCUUAUGAAUGUCAAAAAAACUGAAAAAGGGUAAUGGUCAACAGCCAUCAGAAAACCUUGACAUUAUUUAAGGUUUCUUCCUAAUCAAUGGCCAUUUGUGUUUGAAACUUGUCAAACAUAAACUCUCUGCAGCACACAAUCCCUCCACCUGAUUCUGUGUCUCUUGGCAUCCAGUAUAUGCAUGUUUCUGUCCUAAAUAGUCUGCCAGUUUCUAUAAACACGGAAAUUGUCACAGAAAUUAAAGAAGUUUAAGAAUGUCUUAUCUAAGUGAAAUAAUUUCUUAUUUUGUUUUGGCCCAUCAUUAUGCUAAAUAAAUGGAAGAUUUACCCCUCUUCACAUAGCUUGGCAAACCAUAGAUGCAAAUGAAAACUGCCCAAAUAUGGAAAAAUUCCUCAUCUGCCCUGACUGAUUAGUCAUUACACAUUUACAUAGCAUGGGCAAAGCUUCCCGGAUAUUGAUGUUUUCCUACACCUUCCAUUGACUGAUUCAAAUUAUUUGGAAUUGAGGUUUGUUCUGUGCAUGCUUUUUAAAAGAGAGCCCGAGGGAUUUGGUUCAGCUUCUUAUUUUUCAUUGAGACUGCAUGAUAGCCUGAUAGUCCCCAGCUCUGUAUGAAAGAUAGUGUAGCACAAGGGGAGAAAAUACAUGUUCGGGAUCAAGUGGUGUAUCCUGGCUCAACCCUUGCUUGUUUUGUGACUUUGACCAAAUAUUCUCCUCUUAUUUGCCCCUCAAUUUGCUUACCUAUGAACUGGGAUAAAGACUACUGGCUUCUAAAUUUGUCUGGGGGAUUAAAUGAGAUAAUGUAUUAUGUGUAAUAGGUGCUCAGUGAAGGCAGCUAGAUUUCCUUUGAGUAGAGUGAAUGAUCACAGUAUAUAACUUACAGACAAACAACUGAAAGGUUGGGGAAGUUCUUCAUGCUUCUUUGGAAACAUCAUGUGGUGAUUAAGACAGUUUGAGCCAAACAGUCUGCACAUAAACCCUAGUUGACCAUUUGUGCAAUAGAUGAAUUCAGAAAAUGCAAGCAAAGCUUUCCAAGCCCCAGCAUCUCAGUCUGUGAUACUGAUAGUCAUAGUCCUGUCUGUGUGGGCAACAAGUGAGAUAAUAACUAUGUUAGGAGUUGAUUGUGCUGAGGUCCUAACUUCAGUGCUUGUGAGGUGACUUUACUUGAAACAGUGUCUUUGCAGAUGAUCAGGUUGAGAUGAGGUCACCAAGGAGGGCUCUAACCCAAUAGACUAAUGCCCUUAUAAAAAGGGGAAAUUUGGACACAGAGAGACAUACACACAGGGAGAACUCCAUAUAAAGAUGAAGGCAGGGACAAAGAUGAUAUGUAUACAAGCCAGAAAUGCCAACAAUUGCCAAAACCACAAGCUAUGAGAGAGCAUGGAACAGAUUCUCCUUCAUAGUUCUCAGAAGAAACCAACUCUGGUGACACCUUGACAUUAGACAUCUCGCCUAUUUAAGCCACCCAGUUGGUGGUCCUUUAUGACAGUCCUAGCAAACAAAUUCAGCAUAGAGGCAUGCAACCCAGUGCAUGCACCUGGCAAGCAUUCAGUUCAUGUUCAAAAUUAUUGCUAUCGAGCCAGGCGCGGUGACGCAUGCCUAUAAUCCCAGUGACUCGGGAGGUGAAACAGGAGGAUUGGGAGUUCAAAGCCAGCCUCAGCAACUUGGAGAGGCACUUAGAAACUCAGUGAGACCCUGUCUCUAAAUAAAACACAAAAGAGGGCUAGGCAUGUGGCCCAGUGGUUAAGCCCUCCUGGGUUCAAUCCCCAGUACCACCACCUCCCCCCAAAAUUAUUGCUGUUGAUGUUGGUAAGUGAGGUUUCUUACCUUUCCUAACAUCAACUCCUUUACCCAGGGAUAGUCCCAGCCAGUUUAUCCUGCAUGGUUACUGGUUACUAGAACUUUGUUUUCAUUAUGAUGCUGACACAUAUGCAGAAAGGGAUAAACCGAAGUAGGUUUUAAUCAGCUGUUGAUUAGAUUUAAAAAAAUGUAAGCACCCUGAACAAAGAUCACUAAAGAGAAAACCUGGGAUUUAAGAAUGGUUUUAUACAAGGUGAGGGGGGAACCAGACAACAUCCAUGAUUAAAUUGCAAGGUGUUCUGGCAGAUGUCAGGUCUGUGGCGAGCACAGCAGCGGCAGUGAGGGUGGAGGUGGGGGUGGAGCAUGGCAUCCUGAUUUGCUAUUCACACAUCUCCGGGGAGUGGAAGUUGACUUCAUGAGAAGCACAAGAUUCAUAGCAGGGCUCCUUGGUGGCUGCUGUUUUUACACUUGUUCUGUGACAGCACAAAGAAAGCAGUUUUAUUCUCUCAGUUCUUGAUAUGAGCUGCUGCGCAGAUGACAACCAUGCAGAAGUCUUGCAGAACCAAUCUGGCCUGUCACUUGAGUUUGGGUCUUGACAUUCAAACUGUCUCCAAGCCAGAAGAAUCUCCAAAAGCACCUGCCUAGCAGAGAAGCCAGCACAGCUCCUGAGUCAGAGAGGCUGGAUAAUGAUAAGCAUUUGUUGUAAGAAUGAAUGAGUUGCAAAAAUAAAUAUGUAUUUUAAUAAUACAAUUCUGGGGCAUAAAGGUCAUUAGAGGAGCCUCACAGGAAAAUAUACUUUUAAAGUUUGAGGCAGGAAGCAUUGGUGGUCUUUCUUUCUGAAGAAAUUUAAAUUGCAAGCAUUUCUUUCCUCUCACACAUGCUGUGUACAAACAAUCCCUAGAAAUGAACUGUCUGGAGUACUUUAUUUCUUAAUUAAUCCAGUUUUGCUACUUGGUAUAAAUAGGAUGAUGUUCAGCCUGAAUGAAAGUACAGGAAAGUUUAGGGGAUACAAUCCAAGGAGGAGUUUCAACUCCCUCCACAUCUGCUGCUCCAUUUUCCUUUAAAUUAGAUUUUUAAAUUAAUUUAAUUUUUCAUUUAGAACUGUUCAGCUGCCCCCUCCCCAACCCUUUCUCUUUUCUUCCAGCAGAUGAUCCUCCUGUCUGUGGCCGUAAUCCUUUCCAAGGGAGGACUAAACACUACUUUCUAUAUCACCUGACAGUUCUUUCUCCAUCAUUUUUUUUUCAUGACUUAGCUAGACAGGUAAUAUUUCAGUAAGAACAGGCAUCAGUUACCGUGACAAGCCUAGGUUUAUUGCUAUAUGAGAAAGCAAAGAUCUACUCCACGGAUGUCGAUGUUAGGAAUUCUCCUCUAAGUCACCUCCUUCUGGUAAGCACCUCCCUCUUGUAACACACAACCACUACAGGUAACACAACAGUACACAAUUUGACACUUGGCACCUUAGUGUCCCCAUCUGGAUAACCAAAACACAGGUUGCUCUCCACAGGAGUUUUUUGGGAGAUCACAUUUCAUGUAUUUCCUAGUACUCAGUUUCCCACCAAACAAGAUUUUGAUUUUGAUCUGCUGACACAUAUGCAGAAAGGGAUACCACACAAGAUAAGAAUGGUAAAUUAAAGUUAAAGACUAGAAACCAGGAAAUUCCACAGAACAGUUGAAACACUAGAAAAAGAAGAAUGAGAUAGGAAAAAUAUGUUCUGAGGUUGUACAGGGGUUUUGUAAUGAAGCUUCAAAUAUGACCCUGAGAUUCUUGAAAGUUCAAAGGUCGAGGAUCAGUGAUUGGGGAGAAGUCUUCCAAGAGAUGAUAUGUGGAACUUGAGUGUCUUUAGGCCCACCAGCAUGGGGGCACACUGGGGUGACAUGUUCAUGAGUCAUAUGCUUUUUCCUGAUUGCUAGGCCCCGCUUGUCAGUGUCAGACUCCUCCUCCACUUACUGCUCUUCUUCAUUUUCCCUGCGUUUCCAUCUUCCUUCCAGUCACAACACAAACAGUAACAAAACAACCACCACCACAAAAUAGGAGCACUUUCUCACAGACAUCAAUCUAUGUGGACAGAUGGGCAGGCAGUGGUUGCCAGUUCUCACUGAUCAUAUGAAACCAGAUUUGGGAUCCCACUUAGUCUCUCUGGGAUCUUAGCCUAUAAGACUCUCUUGUCUGCAUGUCACCAAAGGUAUUUUAUAGUCAUUAAGAAGGUAGAAAGAGAAGGUACAGUCUGAAGACAGAUGUUGGCCCCUCCCCAGAUUUUUGUUUUGUUUUUGCCUUGAAUCUAAGCAUUUUUGUUAAACCAGUUAAAAUUUUUUUGUUGUUGUUGUAAAUGGACAGAAUGCCUUUAUUUGUUUAUUUUUAUGUGAUGCUGAGGAUCCAACCCAGUGCCUCACACAUGCCUGGCAAGUGCUCUGCCACUGAGCUACAGCCCCAGCCCUCUAUAGUGUUUUUAAUAAACGAAGAUGGGAGACUCCUCUGCUUAAUGGUGGCAUGGGUAUGAACGUGGAGAAUUCAGAUAUUUUUUGUUUUCAAUUAAAAGUGGACACUUUGAAAAAAAGGAUCCUAUUUUGAACACAGUUGAAACCCCUCGGGGAGAGGGAAUAAUGAAAUGAGAUCUAUUUUAAGCCCAAAGAAGGAGACCCUGAGGAGUGGACCUGCAUUGACUGAGGACGGGUCUCCUGACCAGCAUCUCCUGUCCCCCCUCAAUGCUUCUGGCUUUGCAGAUCUCCUUAGACCACAAUGUACAUUUAGCAGAGUAUUAGCAUUUGUUGGGCACGAAUUUUUAUUUACUUGUCUGUCUCUCUUUCUGAUUAUGGAGUUGCUUUCGGGGACACUUUUGUCUUUUAUCUCAGUAUCACCAACUUGUAGUAAAUUCCUAGUUCCAAGAGGGUACAGGACCUAUUAUGUUAUUUUCUAUACCGCCUGCUCAUUCUCUAAUAUAUAUUUAUCACAUGGGUCAAUAAACUAUCUAAGAAGCUGUAGGCACUUAAUAAAUAUUUGUUCAAUUCAUGAGCUAUAGGUAAAAAAUAAAUCCUAUUUUCAUGCAAUAGGGGAAUUAACUACUUUGAGAUACAUUUGAUGUGUCCUAUGUAAAGUGCUUAUCUUACAUAAAAUUUCUAGUCUUCCCUUCAGGUGUUUCUGAUUAUGCAAGUUAUACAUGUUGUAGAAGACACAGAAGAAAAUAAAAAUGAUACAGAAUCUUCUCACAUCAAAAUCAGAGUGGUUAAUAUAGUCCCAUUUAUAUUGCCUACAUAAUUUUUUAUCUUUUUUACUUAAUCAUGACUAUUUUCUUACAUCAUUAAUUUUUUUUGCUUGACAUUCAUUUUAAUGGCUGUAUAAUAUCUGACUUUAAAAAGUUUUUUUAUUGAGACAUAAUAUUUGUACAUUAUGGUAAUUCCAUCCAUGUUUACAAUGUGUAAUAACCAAAUAAGGUAAUAAGUAUCACUAUCUCUGCAAUCAUUUUUAUGUAUUGGGAAUUUUAUCCUCUUUAAGUUAUUUUGAACGACAUUAUAGAUUGUUUUAAUCAAUAGUUACUCCACUGUGCUAUAAAAAAAAGAACUAAUUCCUUCUCUCUAUGUUUUGGUGACCCUUAUGGAACUUCUUUAAGGGUCCCAAAAGAAUGACAGUUAUCAUUCUCUAGUGACCACUAUUUUUCAUUCUUUUCUUCUAUAAGAUGAACAUAUUAGUUUUCACAAAUGAGUGAGAACAUGUUAUUUGUCUUUCUGUGUCUGGCUUAUUUCACUUAUCACAAGGAUCUCUAGGUCCAUCUAUAUUGCUGCCAAUGCCAGAAUAUUUUAUCCUUUUUUAUGGCUGAAUAAUAUAAAUUGUGUAUAUACACCACAGUUUCUUUAUCCAUUCACUCACUCAAAGGCAUCUAGGUUGAUUAAAUAUUUUAGCUAUUAUGAAUAUGGUUACAACAUGAGAGUGCAAGUGUCUUUUUUAAUAUUUAUUUUUUUAGUUGUAGUUGGACACAAUACUUUUAUUUUAUUUAUGUGGUGCUGAGGAUCAAACCCAGAGCCCUGCACAUUCUAGGCAAGCACUCUACCGCUGAGCCACAACCCCAACCCCUGCAAGUGAUUUUUUGUUGUAAUGAUUUCUUCUCUAGAACAGAUCAGACAUAACUUUUCUCUGUUCAUAUAUGAAAAUACAAUCAUUGAAACUCACAUCUGAAAACCACAAGAAUGGGAUCCUAGUUAGAAUAACUUAAACUCUAUAUACAUAUAAUAUGUCAAAAUACACUGUACUGUCAUGUAUAUCUAAAAAAAACAAAUAAAUUUAAAAAAUGAUUUCAUCUCUUUUGAAUAAAAACUCAUUAAUGGAAUUGUUGGAUCAUAUGGUAGCUCUAUUUUUAGUUUUAUUUUAUUUUUUUGAGGAAUCUCUGUUCUGUUUUCCAUUAUGACUGUACUAAUUUACAUUCCUACCAACAGCAUAUAAGAGUUCCCUUUCUCUAAAUCCUCACAAACAGUCUUUUUCCUGCCUGGAGCCACGCGGCAUGUCUCCGCCUUAUGCUGCCACCAUGUUGUGCUGCCUUGCCCGAGGCCCAAAGUGGCAGUCGUUCUGAAACCUCUAAAACCGCAGACCUGCGACUGACCGGGAGAACAGGCCCAGCGGCCCGCCGGCGUGAUAGACAGAUCACCCCAAUUGGAGGAGGAGCACAACCGCCGCCUGCGCCUGCAAGGGAGACUUUGCAACUAUACAAGAGCAAUAUAAAUAUAUAGGGGGAAAAUUCAAUAACACAACAGUUUCACCAAGCAGAAGAAACGCGAGUAGUAUGAAAAGACAGGGAAAGAAAGGACCACAAGCAACGCAGGUCAACUCAACUUUAGAAGAGGUAAUAUCUGCAGCAGAUGGAAUGUCAGAUAAAGAAUUCAGGAUAUACAUGCUUCAGAUGAUCUGGAGUAUCAAGGAAGACAUUAGACAGCAAAAUCAGACAAUGAAAGAUCACUUUGACAAUAAAUUACACAAACAAAUCCAAGAAGCAAAAGAUCAACUAUACAGGGAGAUAGAAGUUAUAAAAAACAAACAAACAGAAAUCCUAGAAAUGCAGGAAGCAAUAAACCAACUUAAAAACUCAAAUGAGAAUACUACCAGCAGAGUAGAACACUUAGAAGAUAGAACAUCAGACAAUGAAGACAAAGUAUUUCAACUUGAAAAGAACAUAGACAGCUCAGCAAGACUGUUAAGAAACCAUGAGCAGAACAUCCAAGAAAUAUGGGAUAACAUAAAGAGACCAAACUUAAGAGUCAUUGGGAUACAGGAAGGUAUAGAGGUCCAAACCAAAGGAAUGAGCAAUCUGUUCAACGAAAUAAUAUGAGAAAACUUCCCAGACUUGAAGAAUGAGACAGAAUCCCAAAUCCUAGAAGCCUACAGGACGCCGAAUGUGCAAAAUCAUAAGAGAUCCACACCUAGACACAUUAUAAUGAAGAUGCCCAACAUACAGAAUAAGGAGAGAAUUUUAAAAGCUACAAGAGAAAGGAAGCAGAUUACAUUUAGGGGUAAACCAAUCAGGAUAACAGCUGAUCUUUCAACACAGACUCUGAAAGCUAGAAGAUCCUGGAACAACAUAUUUCAAACGCUGAAAGAAAAUGGGUUCCAACCAAGAAUUGUGUAUCCAGCGAAAUUAAGCUUCAGGAUGGAAGAUGAAAUUAAAACCUUCCACGAUAAACAAAAGUUAAAAGAAUUUGCAGCUAGAAAACCAUCUCUUCAAAACAUCCUCGGCAAAACAUUACAGGAAGAGGAAAUGGAAAAUAACAAUGAAAACCAACAGUGGGAGGUAGUACAGUAAAGGGAAAAAAUAAUCAAAGAGGAAAAACAAACCAUGUUAAGUAACAUAAAUAAACAAAUAUGGCUGGAAGAACAAUCCAUAUCUCAAUAAUAACCCUAAAUGUUAAUGGCUUAAACUCACCAAUUAAGAGACACAGGCUAGUAGAAUGGAUCACAAAACAAGACCCAACAAUAUGCUGCCUACAGGAGACGCAUUUGAUAGGAAAAGACAUACAUAGGCUGAAGGUGAAAGGUUGGGAAAAAUCAUAUCACUCAUAUGGACUUCGGAAACAAGCAGGAGUGUCCAUACUCAUAUCAAAUAAAAUAGAUUUCAAGCCAAAGUUAAUCAAAAGGGAUAAAGAGGGACACUACAUACUGCUCAAGGGAACCAUACACCAACAAGACAUAACAAUCAUAAAUAUAUAUGCCCCAAACAAUGGUGCAGCUAUGUUCAUCAAACAAACUCUUCUCAAGUUCAAGAGUCUAAUAGACCACCAUACAAUAAUUAUGGGAGACUUCAACACACCUCUCUCACCACUGGACAGAUCUUCCAAACAAAAGUUGAAUAAAGAAACUAUAGAACUCAAUAAUACAAUUAAUAACCUAGACUUAAUUGACAUAUAUAGAAUAUACCACCCAACAUCAAGCAGUUACACUUUUUUCUCAGCAGCACAUGGAUCCUUCUCAAAAAUAGAUCAUAUAUUAUGUCACAGGGCAACUCUUAGACAAUAUAAAGGAGUAGAGAUAAUACCAUGCAUCUUAUCUGAUCAUAAUGGAAUGAAACUGAAAAUCAACGAUAAAAGAAGGAAGGAAAAAGCAUACAUCACUUGGAGAAUGAACAAUAGGUUACUGAAUGAUCAAUGGGUUAUAGAAGACAUCAAGGAGGAAAUUAAAAAAUUCUUAGAGAUAAAUGAAAACACAGACACAACAUAUCGGAAUCUAUGGGACACAUUGAAAGCAGUUCUAAGAGGAAAAUUCAUUGCUUGGAGUUCAUUCCUUAAAAAAAGAAAAAACCAACAAAUAAAUGAUCUCAUACUUCAUCUCAAAAUCCUAGAAAAAGAAGAGCAAAACAACAGCAAAAGAAGUAGAAGGCAAGAAAUAAUUAAAAUCAGAGCUGAAAUUAAUGAAAUCGAAACAAAAGAAACAAUUGAAAAAAUUGACAAAACUAAAAGUUGGUUCUUUGAAAAAAUAAACAAAAUCGACAGACCCUUAGCCAUGCUAGCGAAGAGAAGAAGAGAGAGAACUCAAAUUACUAGCAUACGGGAUGAAAAAGGCAAUAUCACAACAGACACUUCAGAAAUACAGAAGAUAAUCAAAAACUAUUUUGAAUCCUUAUACUCCAAUAAAUUAGAAGAUAGUGAAGGCAUAGAUAAAUUUCUUAAGUCAUAUGAUCUGCCCAGAUUGAGUCAGGAGGAUAUAGACAACCUAAACAGACCAAUAUCAAUUGAGGAAAUAGAAGAAACCAUCAAAAGACUACCAACUAAGAAAAGCCCAGGACCGGAUGGGUAUACAGCAGAAUUUUACAAAACCUUUAAAGAAGAACUAAUACCAAUACUUUUCAAGCUACUUCAGGAAAUAGAAAAAGAGGGAGAACUUCCAAAUUCAUUCUACGAGGCCAACAUCACCCUGAUUCCUAAACCAGACAAAGACACUUCAAAGAAAGAAAACUACAGACCAAUAUCUCUAAUGAACCUAGAUGCAAAAAUCCUCAAUAAAAUUCUGGCGAAUCGGAUACAAAAACAUAUCAAAAAAAUUGUGCACCAUGAUCAAGUAGGAUUCAUCCCUGGGAUGCAAGGCUGGUUCAAUAUACGGAAAUCAAUAAAUGUUAUUCACCACAUCAAUAGACUUAAAAAUAAGAACCAUAUGAUCAUCUCGAUAGAUGCAGAAAAAGCAUUUGACAAAGUACAGCAUCCCUUUAUGUUCAAAACUCUAGAAAAACUAGGGAUAACAGGAACAUACCUCAAUAUUGUAAAAGCAAUCUAUGCUAAGCCUCAGGCUAGCAUCAUUCUGAANNNNNNNNNNNNNNNNNNNNNNNNNNNNNNNNNNNNNNNNNNNNNNNNNNNNNNNNNNNNNNNNNNNNNNNNNNNNNNNNNNNNNNNNNNNNNNNNNNNNNNNNNNNNNNNNNNNNNNNNNNNNNNNNNNNNNNNNNNNNNNNNNNNNNNNNNNNNNNNNNNNNNNNNNNNNNNNNNNNNNNNNNNNNNNNNNNNNNNNNNNNNNNNNNNNNNNNNNNNNNNNNNNNNNNNNNNNNNNNNNNNNNNNNNNNNNNNNNNNNNNNNNNNNNNNNNNNNNNNNNNNNNNNNNNNNNNNNNNNNNNNNNNNNNNNNNNNNNNNNNNNNNNNNNNNNNNNNNNNNNNNNNNNNNNNNNNNNNNNNNNNNNNNNNNNNNNNNNNNNNNNNNNNNNNNNNNNNNNNNNNNNNNNNNNNNNNNNNNNNNNNNNNNNNNNNNNNNNNNNNNNNNNNNNNNNNNNNNNNNNNNNNNNNNNNNNNNNNNNNNNNNNNNNNNNNNNNNNNNNNNNNNNNNNNNNNNNNNNNNNNNNNNNNNNNNNNNNNNNNNNNNNNNNNNNNNNNNNNNNNNNNNNNNNNNNNNNNNNNNNNNNNNNNNNNNNNNNNNNNNNNNNNNNNNNNNNNNNNNNNNNNNNNNNNNNNNNNNNNNNNNNNNNNNNNNNNNNNNNNNNNNNNNNNNNNNNNNNNNNNNNNNNNNNNNNNNNNNNNNNNNNNNNNNNNNNNNNNNNNNNNNNNNNNNNNNNNNNNNNNNNNNNNNNNNNNNNNNNNNNNNNNNNNNNNNNNNNNNNNNNNNNNNNNNNNNNNNNNNNNNNNNNNNNNNNNNNNNNNNNNNNNNNNNNNNNNNNNNNNNNNNNNNNNNNNNNNNNNNNNNNNNNNNNNNNNNNNNNNNNNNNNNNNNNNNNNNNNNNNNNNNNNNNNNNNNNNNNNNNNNNNNNNNNNNNNNNNNNNNNNNNNNNNNNNNNNNNNNNNNNNNNNNNNNNNNNNNNNNNNNNNNNNNNNNNNNNNNNNNNNNNNNNNNNNNNNNNNNNNNNNNNNNNNNNNNNNNNNNNNNNNNNNNNNNNNNNNNNNNNNNNNNNNNNNNNNNNNNNNNNNNNNNNNNNNNNNNNNNNNNNNNNNNNNNNNNNNNNNNNNNNNNNNNNNNNNNNNNNNNNNNNNNNNNNNNNNNNNNNNNNNNNNNNNNNNNNNNNNNNNNNNNNNNNNNNNNNNNNNNNNNNNNNNNNNNNNNNNNNNNNNNNNNNNNNNNNNNNNNNNNNNNNNNNNNNNNNNNNNNNNNNNNNNNNNNNNNNNNNNNNNNNNNNNNNNNNNNNNNNNNNNNNNNNNNNNNNNNNNNNNNNNNNNNNNNNNNNNNNNNNNNNNNNNNNNNNNNNNNNNNNNNNNNNNNNNNNNNNNNNNNNNNNNNNNNNNNNNNNNNNNNNNNNNNNNNNNNNNNNNNNNNNNNNNNNNNNNNNNNNNNNNNNNNNNNNNNNNNNNNNNNNNNNNNNNNNNNNNNNNNNNNNNNNNNNNNNNNNNNNNNNNNNNNNNNNNNNNNNNNNNNNNNNNNNNNNNNNNNNNNNNNNNNNNNNNNNNNNNNNNNNNNNNNNNNNNNNNNNNNNNNNNNNNNNNNNNNNNNNNNNNNNNNNNNNNNNNNNNNNNNNNNNNNNNNNNNNNNNNNNNNNNNNNNNNNNNNNNNNNNNNNNNNNNNNNNNNNNNNNNNNNNNNNNNNNNNNNNNNNNNNNNNNNNNNNNNNNNNNNNNNNNNNNNNNNNNNNNNNNNNNNNNNNNNNNNNNNNNNNNNNNNNNNNNNNNNNNNNNNNNNNNNNNNNNNNNNNNNNNNNNNNNNNNNNNNNNNNNNNNNNNNNNNNNNNNNNNNNNNNNNNNNNNNNNNNNNNNNNNNNNNNNNNNNNNNNNNNNNNNNNNNNNNNNNNNNNNNNNNNNNNNNNNNNNNNNNNNNNNNNNNNNNNNNNNNNNNNNNNNNNNNNNNNNNNNNNNNNNNNNNNNNNNNNNNNNNNNNNNNNNNNNNNNNNNNNNNNNNNNNNNNNNNNNNNNNNNNNNNNNNNNNNNNNNNNNNNNNNNNNNNNNNNNNNNNNNNNNNNNNNNNNNNNNNNNNNNNNNNNNNNNNNNNNNNNNNNNNNNNNNNNNNNNNNNNNNNNNNNNNNNNNNNNNNNNNNNNNNNNNNNNNNNNNNNNNNNNNNNNNNNNNNNNNNNNNNNNNNNNNNNNNNNNNNNNNNNNNNNNNNNNNNNNNNNNNNNNNNNCAGUAUGAAAACAAAUAACCCAAUCAACAAAUGGGCCAAGGACCUGAACAGACACUUCUCAGAGGAGGACAUACAAUCAAUCAACAAGUACAUGAAAAAAUGCUCACCAUCUCUAGCAGUCAGAGAAAUGCAAAUCAAAACCACCCUAAGAUACCAUCUCACUCCAGUAAGAUUGGCAGCCAUUAUGAAGUCAAACAACAACAAGUGCUGGCGAGGAUGUGGGGAAAAGGGUACACUUGUACAUUGCUGGUGGGACUGCAAAUUGGUGCAGCCAAUUUGGAAAGCAGUAUGGAGAUUUCUUGGAAAGCUGGGAAUGGAGCCACCAUUUGACCCAGCUAUUCCCCUUCUCGGUCUAUUCCCUAAAGACCUAAAAAGAGCAUGCUACAGGGACACUGCUACAUCGAUGUUCAUAGCAGCACAAUUCACAAUAGCAAGACUGUGGAACCAACCUAGAUGCCCUUCAAUAGACGAAUGGAUAAAAAAAAUGUGGCAUUUAUACACAAUGGAGUAUUACUCUGCAUUAAAAAAUGACAAAAUCAUGGAAUUUGCAGGGAAGUGGAUGGCAUUAGAGCAGAUUAUGCUAAGUGAAACUAGCCAAUCCCUAAAAAACAAAUGCCAAAUGUCUUCUUUGAUAUAAGGAGAGCAACUAAGAACAGAGUAGGGAGGAAGAGCAGGAGAAGAAGAUUAACAUUAAACAGGGAUGAGAGAUGGGAGGGAAAGGGAGAGAGAAGGGAAAUUGCAUGGAAAUGGAAGGAGACCCUCAGGGUUAUACAAAAUUACAUACAAGAGGAAGUGAGGGGAAAGGGAAAAAAACAAGGGGGAGAAAUGAAUUACAGUAGUUGGGGUAGAGAGAGAAGAUGGGAGGGGAGCUGAGGGGAGGGGGGAUAGUAGAGGAUAGGAAAGGCAGCAGAAUACAACAGACACUAGUAUGGCAAUAUGUAAAACAGUGGAUGUGUAACUGAUGUGAUUCUGCAAUCUGGAUUUGGGGUAACAAUGGGAGUUCAUAACCCACUUGAAUCAAAGUGUGAAAUAUGAUAUGUCAAGAACUAUGUAAUGUUUUGAACAACCAACAAUAAAAAUUUAAAAAAAAUCCUCAAUCCUCACAAACAUUUUUAUUUUUACCUUUUGAUUAUUGGCAUUCUCACUAGGGUGAAAUGAUAUCUUAUCGUGGAUUUGCUUUUCCCUAGUGAUUGAUAAGAUUGAGCAAUUUUUAAUAUAUUUGUUGGUCACUUGUGUUUCUUGUUUAGAGAAGUAUCUACUCAGCUCUUGAGCCCAUUUUUUAAUUGUAUUCUUUCUGGUGCUUAGCUUUUUCAUUUUCUUGUAUAUUUUGGAUAUUAAUAUUUGACUUUAUUGAUGUUCUGUAAUUUUAAUUAUUUUCUCUUAUUAUUUAUCAACAUAGGUUGGCUUUUUUCAUAAGUAUAAAUAAUAUCACAGUGAAAAUUUUGAAUAUAAAUUCAAUUUAUAAAAGUGUGUUUAGAAUAGAUUUCUAAGCUCUUCUUUUUCUCCCAAAUUGUUCGGGGAAGCAAAUUUGAGUAAACACUGCCAUUUUCUGCCUUUCAUUAGUGACCCUGGAUAAAGGUAAAUAUUGUACCAACUAUUAGUUGCUGACCAUCUUUUUUUUUUUUUUUAAAGAAAAUGACCGAAUGAUUUCUAUUUUCUAGCUUCUGACCACCUCCUGAAUUGCAUCUUUAUCCCAGACAAAAUAACAAUUUACAUCCCGCCUACCCCCCACGUCUGGGUACUCCAGACACCUCCAUGGCAG